GAAGUUGUGGCAUAAUGGAUAUUAUUGAAGUUGUGUUGGCAUCUUCUUCUCCCACUGAUCUCCUUUCAAUUCCAUCCCACUCUUCUACAUCUCCGAGAAAAAAAAACGUAAGUGUUUUUAAUUUGGGGAAAGCAGUGAUCCUUGCAAUUUCUCCUUCAUUAAUACUGGCAUUCUCAUCUUUUUCUAUACCUAAAAAUCCAGCAUCCAACCUUCUCACCUUCAUCAAAAUCAAAUCCAGGCUUUCAAGGUGGGGCAAUCUUCCCAACGGAGGCAAGACCUCCAGCUUUGUACAAUUAUCCAGUCUAAGCGCCUGUAAUCUGGUUAAUGUCAUCAUCCAAUUUGGCAAAUCCAACCCUCCGUACCCAUAUAUGCUUAGAUUUUCCAAGUCUGGCGGAGGCUGUAAAGCUUCAAUUAAAAUGCCGUUAUCCUGGUUGUGGUUGAAAUACAAUUCCAAACGAAGCAGGCGCUUCUUAUUCUUGAGUUGUGCUUCUGCAGCGUCACUCGCAUCUUCUUUACCUCCUCCUAGCUUCCGUAUCUCAAGACUCCCUCCAAUGUGAUUUAAGUCUUUUAAAUCUCUUAGAUUAGCUGCUUUACUUUCAUUCUCACCACCACCACACACACUAAACACAUCUAAUGUUUGAAGACAUGUUACCCUCUCUAUUCCCUUUGGUAUGAAGGCCACUCUUGAACCAUAAAUCCGGAGAUGCCUCAAUUUGAUAAGUUUUCCAAUCGCCUUGGGCAAUUCCUUGAGAGACCAACACCAAAUAACGUCUAGGGAUUGUAGAUUGCAUAAAUCACACAUGGUUUCUGGCAGGGACUCCAACUCUCCACAGGCUACCAAAUUGAGGUGUCUCAAAUGUAUCAAUUUCCCUAACUCCUUUGGUAUUUCUUUGAUUGAAGACCUUGACAAAUUCAAUGACCUGAUGCAUGUCAACUGUUUGAACAAAUCAGGCAGUGCAGCUCCAAGCGAAGGGUCUCUAGUGUCGAUCAAGAGGCUGCGAAGACCUUUUGCUUUGUGAAUGGACACGGGAAAAGAGGUCUCGUUGGGCAGCAUCAUGCUUAAAUGACGAACCCUUUCAAUUGAAGUCUCCAUUGUUGCUUCUCCAAGUUUACUGGCAUCCACUGUUAGACAUUCAUUUUUUGUCAUAUAUUGGGCAAAAUCAUGCACUAUAUCAUGCAUCUUGAAUCUAAUAUCUUCUCGACCAUACGUCUUAAAAUCUUGGAAGAAAGAGCGCGCUGCUAAGACUUGAAAGUACUGCUCUCCAAUAGCCUCCAUAUCUCCACCUGAAGUCUCCUUGAGGUAACCUUGAGCUAUCCACAUCUUCACCAAAUCAUAUUUGCGCAUCUCGUAGUCUUUUGGAAACAUGGCACAAUACAAGAAACAUCGUCUUACCACAGAAGGUAAAUCGUAGUAACUCAAAAGCAAAGAUAGAAAUAUUCCUCUUUCAACCUGAUCUCUAUCAACCUCAUCUAGCCCCCACAGUUCGCUAUAUAAAACACGCUCCCACUCUUCUCUUGUUCUUUUAAACUGCAUUAGACCUCCUAAUACCUUGGCAGCUAGCGGCAAGCCCUUGCACUUGUUAGCAAUUUUAUCACCGAUAUCUGUCAAUCUUUCACGCUCAUCUUUGCUUCUUUCCUGGAAUGCCACAUGAUUGAAUAUUGACAUGCAUAUCUCAUCAGACAAUUUCUCAACAUUGAUCUGGUGGUCAGUUCCCAUAAUCGUUGCCACAGUGCCCUUACGAGUGGUCACUAGAAUUCUGCUUCCUCGUGCACAGCCUGUGAAAGAUGGUUUCAGUUGUUCCCAUUGCCUAUGAUUGUCUGUCCAUACAUCAUCAAGGACAAGAAGCAACCUCUUUCCCUUAAUGGAUUCAGAAACCAUUUGCAAAAGGGAUUGCAAUUCAAUCAAAUUCGGUUCACUCCCUUGAAGCUGCUCAAGGAUAGCUUUUGCUAUUCUAACCUCAUCAAAUGGUUCUGAAACACAUACCCAUAUCUUUUUCUCAAAAUGAGCCGUUACCUCAGCAUCCUUAAAAGCUAGUUGGGCGAGAGUUGUUUUUCCAAUUCCGCCCAGCCCUACUAGAGUGAUGACAUCAACGUCCCGUGCUUCCUGACUACUUUCACCCACCAACUUGCUUACAAUAGUUUUCUUUUCAACAUCUCGACCAAUCACGCUUGAUUCAUCAACAAAGGAGGUACUUGUUAGUCGUUGUAGUUCAUCAGUGGCUCUGUACAGAUCAAAGCCAUACAUAACUCUCUCUUUGGCAAUGUCAUCCACUUUUUCACAUACUUCUUUGAUCUUAAAGGCAAUGUCGCGACGUCGAACCACUUGAUUGAGACAAAAGCGAGGAGAUCUCAGGAAGGAACAUCGUAUCUUCUGUAGGCUGCGAGUAUUUUCUUCAGCUUCCUCCAUUUUCCAUCUAAGAAUUGCAGUGCUCCAUUCAUCUAGCACGUCAUCCAUAUCAUAACAUGCAUCUUUGAGCUUGUCUACCCAAUCUCUUACAGCCUUAUCCUUCACUUGUUUUCUAUCUGCAUCUUCAAGGACAGAUUGGAUAGCAAGGAGAUUGCUUUUCAGCUUGUCACAUUGUUUCUUCACACCCACUACUAGGUUCACCUCUUCUUGUACCUAUUAGUGUACAAAGGAAAAGAAACGCUAAGCAUGGGAAACAUUUCUGUGAUUUCAAGACAAUUUCACACCCCCUACUAGGUUUACCUCUUCCAAUACCUAUUAUUGUAGAACAGACAAGGAAGUUCAAGCAUAGGAAACAUUUCUAUUUUGUAUUAAUAUAUUUUAUUGUGAAAUGGAUUUACUAUAUUAAUAUUUUAUAUAUAAUUAAUAUAGGCAUGAAAAGAGUUCAAUAUUCUCACGAGAGAAGUAAUAUUUCUCCUUUGAACCGACAUAAAAUCUGGUUUUCAUUUUACAUUAAACUAUAGAUAUAUGGAUGUAUAAAGGCAAGUGAAUAAAAGGAUCUGCAUGUAUAUAUUUGUGAAGUCAAUUUAGAAAUAAAGGCAUGAUAAUAAGAUUGUGUGAUAACUAUAUAGUUUUAAUUCACACCAAAUACUCACUCGCUAAUCCUUUGAACUUUUUAUUGAUUAUUUUACCUUUAAUAGUUCAGUUUAAAGAGAAUUGGCAACUCUUGUUUUGUCUUUUUUGGUUUUCUUAUAUUUGGAAUGAUAUAUUUUCUUUAUGUUAUUUUUAGAAAUAUAAAAAAUAAUAAAACUAGAAAAAGAAGUCUUUAAUAAAAUCGAAAUAUAUACUUGAGGAUUUAAAAUAUUAUUUUUAUUUUUUCAAGUUAAAAGUAUUCAUUUUAUGAGAGGAAGAUAAAAGGCUUGAACUUUAUAUAUAUUUCUUAUCUUUGCCAGGUAAAUCAGGUUAUUGCAGAUGGCAGAAAAAUACCUGUUGAGCAACGAUCGUGGUUAAGUGCUCCAAGAUCGGAGAUAGAAGUGCCUCAGCCAUCGUCUGUUUAGUUCUGAUUGGAGAGAGAGAAGCAGUGAUGAUAGGAAGACAGAGAGAAAGAGAGGGUGAAGGGAAGGAGGCGGCUGAUUGUGAAUGGAAGUUAGUUUAUAUACUUAGGGUUUGGCGUUGCAGGUGAAGCUUUUGUAUUUUAGUGUCUCCACAUUUUCUUAUUAGUAUUUGUAGGGACAGGGUAAAGGGAGAUCAGCGCACCUUGUAAUUUUAGCUGGCAGUAAACCUGAAGCAUAGUUUUAAAACCCGGACCGGCCCGGCGGGUCGAUCUGGGACCGGUUCGGGUGAAGGCCAAAACCCGUUUGGAAAUUGACCCGGCUAGACCGGGGACCUGGUUGACCCGGCAAGACCCGGUCUCAAACCCGUUGACUUUUAUUUUUUUUUGUUUUUUUUUUUUUGCUAAAACGACGUCGUUUUGAUUUUUUUUAAAAAAAAUAAAAAAUAAAUUUUGACCCGGCCGACCCGGUCAAGACCCGAUGACCAGGUCAAAACCAGGAACCCGGGCCUUGGACCGGGCCGACCACCGAGCCGGAUCUUAAAACUAUAACCAGAAGUAAUGAGAAAAUAAUUUUAGCCAGCCGGCCCAAUCUAUUUUAGGCUAAUAGUGUGUUAGGCAAAACACAUAUAAGCCUUAUCCCUUUAUUUUAUUAUUUUUUAUUUUAAUAUUUAGCUAAAUAAUUUUUUUUGAAAAUCAAAAAUCAUUAUGAAUGUUUUUGAAUUUAUUUAUGGGUUUCUUUUUUUAUUAUUAUUCAUUGUAUAUUUGUAUAUUUGAUUUUGUGGAUUUUUAUGGUGGAAUGUAAAUAUAGUAUACGAUACAUUUGUUUCUCUUAAAAAAAUAUGUAUGUUUUAAUUUAAAUUCAUUUUAUUCAUUAAUCUAACAACUAUGUAAGUUUCUAGUGACCUUAAGAUUUGUGAGACUGGAACUAGUAAUUUGAGGUUCAACAUCCCAGGUCGAGAAUUAGGUCUUAAUAUGGAAGGGUUAAUCUAGGUUAACCUAAUUUUUUUAAUAAAAAAAUUAAAAUAAUAUCGUUUUGACCGAAUUUUUUUUUUCCAAAAACAAAACUACCAAUAUUUAAACAAGUUUUACUUGAGUCUAUCGGGAUAUUUUAACCAGGUCAAACCAUAUUAAUUCUUUUCUUUAUUAUAUUUUUUUGAAGUUCUUACCUUUAUUACCAAAAAAAUCCCCUUAAUUUCAGAGUCCUUACAUCUCUAAUUAAUUAUAAUUACCUUACCAGUCAUAAUGUUCUUUUCUGUACCUGAUGAAUGAUAUUAUUUCUGAGAUUUUUGAACAUGUAAUGACGGAAGCCUGCGCUGGGCUGGUUCCCUUUGUUACGUUGCUGGAGUCGCAAUGUUUCGAGGUAUCAGACCAAAUUAAUUCUCUUGCUUUUUGCAGCAAAGCUGUAUCUCUUGCUACUUGCUAGAAGCGUAAUCUCAGGAUACCACUGUUUUGGUGUUGCCUCUCUCACCAUUGUUAUUAGGUUGAAUUAAAUACCAGAAGAUUUCUGAGUAUGCAAUGACUGUAUGAUUUAACUAACCAAUACACUAUCAAGGGUGUGGCGUAUGAACUUCAUGCGCCGGCGUGUGUCACCACCGUUCCACCGUGUGCCGUUGCGGCCUCCCCAUUGAAGGUCCAAUUUUCAAGCUCACAAGCAUGACAUCUUUAAACCUUACUUGAGGUUCAACAUCCUAGGUCAAGAAUUAAGUCUAGCAUGAAAGGUUAAUCCAAGUUAAUUUAAUUUUUUUUUAAAAAAAAAAUUAAAAUAACAUAGUUUUGAUUGAUAUUGAUUUUUUCAAAAAAAAAAAAUCCAACAAUAAUUAUAUUUUAACCAGGUCAAUUCAUAUUAAUUCUUUUCUUUAUUAUAUUUUUUGAAGUUCUUACCUUAAUUACCAAAAAAUAUCCACUUAAUUUUGAGAUAUAUUCAAUUUGGUUUUGUAAACAGUACCUUAACAUAUUUUGAUUGAAAUUGAUUUUUUUUUUAAAAAAACCCAACAAUAUUUAAAUAAGUUUUACUCGGGUCUACCAAGAUGUUUUAACCAGGUCAAGGCAUAUUAAUUCAUUUUUUAAAUUAAGUUCUUACCUUAAUUACCAAAAAAAAAAUCAGCUUAAUUUUGAGAUAAAUUAAAUUUGGUCCUAUAAACAGUACAUUUUAUUUAGUUGAUCCAUCGAAUAUCUGGUGCUAUUCAAUUCAAUUUAACCAAACUUUUAUUUGGUUGAGAAGAAUUUGACAAUCAGAAUCCUGUAAUAUUGAUGAUGGCUCUUGAACUGGAAACCAUGUUUAUAUCGCAGAUAUAUUCUUGGACACCAUUCAUAUAAAGGUGAACAAUUAAGCACUCUCAAAAACCAAAUCAUAGGGAAGAGCUCAUCAACUCGAGCGCCACCAGAGAUUUACAUUUGCAUGUGAGUUGGGAUGCAAGAAUCAAUGAUUCUUAUGAGGCUGAUCACACAAUUCUAUGUGAAUUUGGGUGCGCAAUACUUUUAAGGAGAGAACUCAUCCUAGUCCAAGCACAUUAAACUUCGGAAUUCUUAUGGCAUAAGGUGUACGAUACUAAAUACACAAGUCCUAGUUAAUAUCCUCUACCAUGCAAUGCAGUGGUUCAGUCGCACCAUUUCAAAUUGUUAUUAUGUCUAUAAUCUAUGUUCAGGUACUGCAAUCUAUCUUGAAUUCAUGGUCUUCACUUAAUAACAAGUUUGGUCUGGAGAAUCCUUUAACUUGAAAGGGGACUUGUCUUUUACUUGUAGAAAUGCCAACAUUAAAUUGUUAAUAUUAAAUUUUUUUCUAUUUAGUUAUUAAACUUUCAUGACACGGAUUCCGGGUUUGACAGGUUAACCUGGUUUGACGAGUUAACCCAGUUAAUUCUGGGCUAACCCAUUAAUUUGUUUUUUCCUUUUUAAUUAUCAAACUUUCACGAUGUGAAUUCAAGGUAUGAUGGGUUAAUCUGGUUUGAAAGGUUAACCCAAUUAAUUCAUAUUUUUUUUCUUUUUUUUCAUUAGUUUUUUUUUUCUGUUGGUUUUUUUCUUUGUUUUUUUCUUUUUAACUAAUCUAUUUAAUUAUCACACUUUUAUGACACGACCUUGCAGCCAGAUCUACGUCCAAUGCUAUUGGGUAUAGUAUUGUAGUGCAUACACUUUUAUGCUAAGAGUUAACCCAAGUUUAAUGUUAUUAUUAAUAUUAUAAAUAUUACUCUUGGAUCAGGCGUUGCAACUAAAUCUAAAAUUCUUGGAUAUAACUUUGUAAAAAAACCUAAUAUUUUUAGAUCUUGGCUUUUUUUUAAAUGUAAAAAAUAAUUAACCUAUGGCAUCGCGCGGGGCAUGUAACUAGUAAUUUCUAAAAGGAAACUCAUCCUAAACUUCGGAAUUCUUAUGAAUUAAGUGUACCAGGCUAAAUAUCCUCUACCAUGUAAAGUAGUGAUUCGGUCGCUCCAUUUCAAAGUAUUUUUAUGUCUAGAAUUUAUAUGUUUUGGUAACUUUUUUUUUUUUCUGGGUGUUCAUGGUCUUCACUUAAUAAAAGGUUUGGUCUGGAGAGUCCUUGAACUUAAAAGGGGCUGUGAUGGCAUUUGGAAGGCACACGUACUGGGGGACUUGUCUUUUACUUGCAGAGAUCAUAUCCAUUGGUGAACAUUUUUCGCGUUAGGUUUGGAUAACUUUAUUAUGAUUUAAUCCACUAAAUCAAUGUGUAUCAUGUUUAAAAAAGAAAAAAGAAAAAACAGAGAGAGAGAGACGAUGUGAGAAUAAAUGGGAAGUAGGAAAUAAAAUCCAAGUCAACAAUAGAUUACAAAUGAUUACAAUCCAAUUACGGUAAGGAGGUGUAUGAAACAAACGGUGCUUAAUACAACACUGAAUGAAAUCCUCCAUUUGAUUAUACCAGAAUGCCCUUCGAUUUGAUUCCAAAAAUAUGAAGGGAAAAUCUUCAAAUGCACAAAGUAAAUCGGAACCCACAGUGAAGUAGCUCUUCAGUAUCUUCUAAGCCCAAGCUGUCAAACACAGACCAAAAGCAAACGUGUCAUAACCAAAAUAACCCAAUGAAUGGUAGAUGUUAAAAUGAGCAUUCCAUUUUCUGAAUGAAAAAAAUCCCAGUGACCUAGCUAUGACUUACAUAAUUAAUUAAAAUGGAUUUGUUAAAAUAUAGUAAAAUAUUAUACCGUUAAGAAUUAACACUGGUAGAAGAAUUUGUUGGGCGGAAUCCAGCGAUCGGUGAUGAACUGAUUAUUACUUAACGGAGGGGCAAGCACACUGACAACAAUAUUUUACGUGGUUCGGCAAAAUCACCUACAUCCACGGGAGAGAGUCCAUUUAUUAGAGAUUAGAAAAAGGAUAUAAUAAAUAUAUAGAGGAGGAUCUAAUCACUCAACUCCCAUCUCUCUUGCUGUCCUUGCAGCUGCUGCAAUGGCUGCUGCCAUUGCAGCUCUCUUUUUCUCUCUAUCCUCUUACGUUUCUCACACACUCCUCACCAGAUUUAGCUCUCUUUGCAUGCUUCUUUUAUAGGCAAUGAAUGGUCAUCAUGGAGGGGCCAACAUGCCACCAUUAGUGGCACUAAUGGAGCAACCACUUGCUUGGUGGUGGUGGCCACUUGCUUGGUGGUGGGGGUAUUGCCAAUAAAUGGCAAUAUCCUAACAGAAUUUACAUGCUCCGUCCGGUUCUAAUUAAAGAGUUCUGUCUUUCUCACCUAUAAUAAUAUAUCAUGAAAAUAAAUGUUUGGGAUGUGAGAAAUCUUUUGUCAACCUUCACCCAUCUCCUCAUUCCCGUAACUUUUCCUUCGAAUGCGGCAACCACUUAUGUAUAAUUCCUGUGGAAGGGCUGCCAAAACAUAAAAGCUGUCCCGUUUAUGUUGGAUUAUGCAAACAUGGAGGUAUCUAUAUUGAUUCUGAUAUCACAGUCUGAAUUUAUUGUCUUCCGUUAGUAAAUCUAUUGGUCUGAAGAAUCCUCUGUCUGGAAGUUCUUUGAAUGGGGCUGUGAUGGCAUUUAGAAAGCACAGGCACCAGGGGGCUUGCCUUUCACUAGCAGAAAUCAUAUUUAUUGUUGAAGAUUUUUUGUGUUGGGUUUUGAUAACUUUAUUUGCAUUUAAUCCACAAAAUCGAUGGGUAUCAUCUCUUUUAGAUGAAUGGUUUAGCUUCCAAGUCUACCAUUCUCUCAUUUAUUUGGACUUAAUCCACUGAAACUGAGGUUUUAUUUGCGCGGAUAAUGAUAAUAUUUGGUGCUAAAUUUCUUGUUGUGAAUUGCAGAAAACAGCUGCUUGAUCUUCACUAGGAUGGUGGUUGCAAAUAAUAAUUAUGCAACCCGGUACGAGUUGCAUGUUAAAUAACUAGUGUAUAUGUAGAUACAGAUGAUGGUAUUUUUUUUUUAUAAUGACCCGUCCGUGUCGUUGUAAGAGGGGCCACCGUUGAUUGUGCCUUGGCCAUGGAGUGAUAUUCCACGCACCACCAACACUGUUCAAGAGCCACACGAACAUGGAGGAAUUACAGGGGCUGGCAGGGGCAGGGUCCUGCAAGGUUUUUUUUUUCUUCAAUAAAUUAGAUUUUUAUCUUUAAAAAUAUAAAAUUUAAAAUUUUGGCCCUCCCUCUAAAAUCUUUUAUCUAAUUUGACAUUCCCAAACUACAAUUCCUAACUCCGUUGCUUACUAUACACACGAAGUCAUUGUUUUAUGAUGAAAAAAUAAUAAAUUUUUUCUUCUUUUCUUGUAUUUUUAAAUUUUGGUUUUCUUUUAUCUUAGAUUUUAUGAAUGAUGAAUUCCAUAACAAGGAUGAUACAUGCCCAUUAAUCAUACAUGUCAUUAAUAACUUUAAAACAUAGACACCUAAUGGUGAAAAUUAUAGAUACAACCAUCAAUUAAAAAAUAAAAACAGCGAUUAAAUAUAUAAAAAAAGUAAUGGAAGUACAAGAAAUAAAAUAGAAAAAUUAAAAUUAGAGACACUUCCAUUGAAAAAUAUAAAUAAUUAGAGGCCCUGAAAACACUAUACACACACACAAGAUUAAGCGCAUUGAAUAAACAACAUGGAUUGUUGGAGUGGCUGUUUUUCCAGGCCUUGGUGAGGUGGUGCAAGUAAAUGAAUUCACACCAAAUACUCACUCGCUAAUCCUUUUCAACUUUUUAUUGAUUAUUUUACCCUUAAUAUUUCAGUUCAAGGAGAAUUGGCAACUCUUGUUUUGCCUUUUUCGGUUUUCUUUGUUAAAACUUCCUAAUCGUGUAUACGAGCAUAAAAGAAUAAUAAUAAUAAUAACAACAACAAUAAAAAUAAUUACUGCAUUAAUUUUUCUCGGAAAAUGUUUUGAUGGGCACCUUUACAUAUUUUCCAUAGAAAGUGUCUAAGAUGCUCUAUGAUAAGAUUUCAAUCCAAUUAAAUAUUUUACAUAUUCAUGGAAAAUCCUCUCCUUGAAUUCUUUUUGCCUUUAUAUCAUAAAUUUUUUAAAAAAACCCUAUUCAUGUUAAAACAAACUUUUCUAUUUUAAUUUUUAAAAAUAGAAUGUUUAAUAAGAGAUAUUAUUAAAUAAUCAUAUAAUAUUAUAAAUAUUAUUAUUAUGAAUUUCACUUUUCACAUGAACAAGAAAGUAUUGCAUUAAAAAUAUCUAAUGAUAAUAAAAUUCUCUUAUUAUACAAGGUAAUUAAAGUUUUUUUAACUCAAUAUAUGUUGAUCAAUACAUGGAUGUAAUUAUCCUGUUAUUUGUGGAUAUCAUUAAAUAAUUAGUAAAAAAAAUAGGUUUUCAUGAUUAGAAAAAUAAAGAAACUUUGAAAAAAAAGAGACAAAAAAAGACAUAAUAUUUAAUGUCUUUGAUUAUUUAUUUAAAAAUUGAUAUUUAUUAACAUUUUGAUACUAGAUAAAUGGGGGAUCUAAUCGGAAAUGUAUUUUGUCUGUAACCCAAAUGAGAAUAAAAAGAUAAUCGGAGGAAAAACAAGUUGUCCUUUUCCCAAAAUAAAAAUAAAAGAGAGGAUAUGGUGUGGACAUUGAGAAAACAAUCAUUUUCAAUAACAACUGAUUAUAGUCAAUUUCAUCCAAAUACUUAUCUCUUGGAAUGGUGUUUUUUUUUUUUUUUUUGUAAAAAAAUCAUUUCCUAUAAUAGUAUUCCAUGCUAAUACAAGAGUUCGGAGGUUUGAUAUAAUAUAAAUAUGAAUCACAUUAAUUAUUUAAUUCCAUCCUAAUAACUGAAAUCCUUUUCUUUUGAGUUCUAUGGACCUGAUCAAGGAACAUUAAUCAUGCAGGAAGAGCAGGCCUCCAUGCCCUUAUGCAUUGUUCUGAUUACAGUGGUAACCUGUUCAAUUUGAUCUUCGCUUGAGCAUGCUGAUAGAAGUACUUUGGCAGUUCCUCCAUCAGGGUGACAUCCAGCAUCGAUCAUUUCUUCAAAGAUUUCCAAGCAUCUUGCGUAUAGUUUCUUUCUAGAGUAGGCUCCCAAUCUUGAAGUCCAAGUCACAACAUCAGGUUUCAGAUUUUUGGUUGGAAGUGAUUGGAAAAUACCUUCCAUUCUCUCGAAAAAUCCUGCUCGUCCAUAUAUGUUGAUUAAGAUGUUGUAUGUACUGAUAUCAGCUCCAUAAGGUCCCUUUUCCAUUGCAGUUAGAACUUCCUCCAUCUUUUCAAAUUGGCCAAGCCGGCCAUACAAGUGCAUCAUGCUGUUGAGGACAAACGUGUCUGGUUCAAGCCCAGAUUCGCUCAUCUGGUUAACAAUUUCUUCGCAUUUAUCCACAUUUCUUGCCCUUGAGUAGGCACACAGAAGUAGCAUGUGUGAUUUCAUUGUAGGGGUUAUUCCUAGUCGCUUCAUCUCAUUGAAUACCGCUUGAGCAUCUAAAAAACAUGAAGGAGCAGCCAAAUCAUUAAGCCAAAACUUCAUUCAAGGAGCAUAUACGAAAAACAAGAGGAAUUUCUUCUAAGCAAGGAAAGGUGUCGCAAAUGGAUGAAAUGCUGAUAGCCUGAUAAUAUCUCAUACAACUUUAUCUUGUUUCCUAGGAAAUCUUAGAAAUAUUGUGGAAGAUCUCCAGAAUAAAAUUGAACACUGUUCCAAAAUAUAAUCCAAAUGUUGCAAUAUAGAUCCCUUCAAGUUCGUAGUUGAUCCGAACGUUUUUAAACCAUUACAUGCUCAAAAUGUUCCCAAAUUCUCUGGAGCUUAAUCUUUCCCCAAUUCUCACUUAAUAAAGUACAUUGAUACUAUUUGGUUCAAGCAUCUUACCCUCAUGAAGGCCAGCUCUCCCAUACGCAUCUACCAUGAUGUUAUAUGAAGCUCUAUCCGGCUCACAGCCCAUGUGCCGCAUGAGUGAAAAUAUUUCUGCAGCCCCGUAAGGAAAACCUGCACGACUGUUAGGACAAGAUAGUUAAAUAUCAUCAGUUCUAUUGGGAAUCUCUUGGAAGCAAGAAGCAGCACCUCCAGUAUUCUUUUCCAUUUUCUUUGAAAGAUUAUUGAAACACCAUAUCAUUCUAUGAUACUAACCUGUAAGCUUCCAUGAGCGCGUUGUAAGUAUACACAUCAGGCUCAAGCUUAUCUUCUUGCAUCUGCUCAAAUAUUUCUUCUGCCUUCUCACAGAGUCCCUCUCUAGCAAACGCGUUCACCAGAGCUGUGUAUGUGCAGAUAUCUGGUCUGCAUUUUUGACUUCUCAUUUCGUUAAACAACUUCAAGGCCAUGUAAGAUUGACUUGCCUGUGUACAGGAAAAAGAUUAGCAAAAUGAGUUUUUAAGGAUCCUAAACACCACUGUUGUCCAGUUAUCAGAAUUUAUAACCAUAUCCUUGAAUUUAGUCUGAUAAUUGUUUGAAAUUGAAUGCAUAUAUUUCAAGUUGUUUGUUGUAUCACUGUAGACUCGUAGACGUACGAGUUACGCAUAAUUUUCUACUGGGACCAGUGGCAUUUCAAGAAGAUCAGAUUUGCAGAAUAAUUCAGAGCCAAAUACCACUGAGCUUACCUUCCCAUGAAGGUUGAUCAACAGUGUAUAGGUGUCAGUAGAGGGCUGGCAGCCAUCAUUUUUCAUUCGCUGAAAGAUCUGAAUUGCUCUUUGAGGGUUUCCAGCCUUCGUUAACCCAUCAAUAUAAGCAUUGUAUACAAUUGCACCUGGCCAAAAUUAGAGUAUAUGCUCACUUUUCACUCAUAGAAUGUGCAUGCAAGUGUAUCAACUAUCAACAGAACAGCUUGAAAAACGAAAAUCUGAGACGUAAAUAAGAGAAUGAAACACAAAAGCAGAACUAAUGCCCUGUAUUUCACCACCACAAAAAGAAGAGAAAUAACCCACGCAAUCUCAUAAAGGAAAGCUACAGAAGCAAGUUUGUCAUCCAGGAGCCUCUAGCCUAAUCCAGUUCCGGUCUAGCUAAAUUAGCAAGGGGGUCCCUCUUGGUUUAAUCAACCAUUCUCUAAGCAUGGUGAUGUAGAUAAGGAGUAGUAAUCACUACUAUUAUAGUAGCAACAAGAAAUAUGCAGACCAUGAACCAAUCUUCUCUUUUCCUACAUUUAGUAUACUUCACCCCCGAAAAGAAAAAAGAAAUACAGCUCUGUGCAAUUAUUGAGCAAGGUUUCAAAAUUUAAAACGAAUUUAACCCCACAAAAAAUCAAUUUUUGAGGCAAAGAAUCUUACAAGUUGAGGAAAUUUUUGUUUUGUAAGAAAUGGUUGAUGUAGUCCAAUAACUUCUUGAAAAUACAAUUUCCCUAAAAGCUAAGAAGAAAUGAAUUGGUAAACACAUACUUGGAGGAAGGCUAUACUUUCGCAUAUCAACAAAGGCAGCUUCAGCUUUUUCUAACAAUCCACAUGCACAGUAAGCCUUUAUAAGAAGGGCAUAAGUGUCUUCAGUAGGGAUACACCUGGCUUGAAGAAGAUCAACAUAUGUUUCUUCUGCCUUCUCGUACAAAGAUUUUUGCCCAUAAGCAUCUAUUAGUAAAUUGUAGCACAUGACAUCUGUCUGGAAGGAGCUCUUGUACAAUAUCCAUUGACAUAUCUGGAAAUUUUAGAGUUACACCCAACAAGAUUAUUAAGAAUUAAGAACAAACGAUAUGAAAAAUGUCUAUAUAAUAAAUAGAGACAGUAAAGAGAUUUGUUUCAUUUAGUUGUAGGAAAAUGCUGGUAUAUGAGAAUUCCAAACACCAACUGCAGCACCAACCACUUAAAGGAGAUUUGAACAAUCGAGGAUUCAGUCUUAAUGGUUGAAGAGAAAAAUACUGUACAAAAAUCCUGCCACAAAAAUUUGUGCGUGCAAGGUGGUUUAAUCCAUCGCCUACCACCUUACACGAUGAAAGAAAUAAGGCACGAUUUACUCACCAAUGCAAUCGGAUCCCAUUGUUUAUUCAAACGAAGUUGGACGGCUACAUUAAUAAGAUCAUCCCAAGUCUCGUGAGUGACAGGAAGAGUAUCAAGAGCAGCCCAAACAUUAUUCGGAUCCACUUCUUUCCGCACAAAGUUCAGAAUCUGAUGAGCAACAGGACUUAGCACUGGGAAAAUUCCAUCAACAAAUCCAGAUCCAUAUUUCCAUCCUUGUCCCCUCAAAGAGCCACCUGGGUAUAAAAGAUGACUUAAUAAUUAAAGCCAUAUUUGCUUGAGCAGUUAUAUGUAUGAGCACAAAGUGAAUUACUCCGUAUUACAUCGUUUCCUGGACAUCUUUUUGUGAUCAAAGAUUCGCCAUUUGCCAUGUUUGUCGAUAUAGACCCUGUCGCUUUUCCACUUUUUAACAUCUCCACUACUGGAAUUCUUUUCUCGGCGUCUGAAAUGACCAUUCCGGAUUCUUGAUUCUAUAAAAAUAUGAUUCAGUGUGCAUCUAACAAGCAACCUGCAAACACUAAUCAAGUAAACACACAAUUGCCAGCAACAAAAUACACACCUCUUAAUUUAAAGCCAUUACACGGAGGAAGCAACCAAAUAAAAUCCAUAUAAAGGAUGCUUUAGACUUCAAAAUAAUUGGACAAAGAGAGACACUAAAACUACUUUUAAUCACAAUAGCAAACACUUGAAAUGCAAACCAGAAAACCUAGUUAAAAAAGAAGAAGAAAAGUAGUCAACUUUUCCUUUGUAAACCAAAUAUCUUUUCCCUUUCUUCCGCAGUAAUUCUUAACUGCUGUGAGUAUACGUUUUUUUUUCAUUACAGAAUCAAAUAUUAGUCUAAUCUAUCAGAUUAAACUACAAAAAUCAAAAUUUGCAAGAUAAACAAGGCCACAACUGUUGAAGACUGGUUAGAGUUCAACAACGAUAAGCAUAGCACUCUGACAGCUAAAACUGGUCCAUCAUCUUAUAACUUCUGAAGUCACAGUAAGACUUUUUAGAUAAUGAUGAUUGCUCGUUCAAUAUAUAUGAGAGCCAACAAAAUGCUAAAAUGUUUUAACUAAUAAGAACACAAAACAAUUUAGACAUACUCUCUCAAGUGAACGUUGAUACUUAGCAAUUCCAUUGAAACCCAUUUCCCAGAACAAUAAAUUCCAUGAAAAAGCAAUAUUAUCCAGCAAGAGGAGAAACACCAGAAUUGAAGUUAAUAAAUACAGAAAAUAACAAGGCAGCAUGAACAGCAUUAGCAGUGGCAUUGCAUAAGGAAAGAGAGGAAGGAAGGAUACGACUUACAUGAAAGCAUAAAAGAGGAGUUUGGAGUUGGGUAUCUGUAAACAUCCAGUAGGCAAGAAGAUAUGUGAAGAGUGUUUCUUGGAUAAUGGACUACAUGGAUGAAGACCAGCACUGCCAGACAAAAGUAGCUUCUGUUUUUUUCUGUUUACUAAGGGACAAAAGCCUCAAAAUAUCUCUAACGAACUUAAGGCGUCAAACAAUAGCGUUAUUGUAGCCUCGUGGUGUCUGAGGUUGCAUGGGAUUCUAUAUUGAGACAGUAGCUGAUAGCUAGAAUAAUCAAUUCUAAAAAAGUUUAUUUUUAAUAAUAAAAAAAGAAGAAGAUCAAAGGUUAAUUUGUUUAAACACAAUGGACAAAUUAUUGUCAUUAUUAUUAGUAUAAUUUAACAGCAGAUACUCCAGCAUGACACUUGUUGCAAAGACGAAGCUAUGAAGUGCCAAUUGAGUUGCAAUUCGACUCUACUAGCAGAAGUUUCCAUGCUAAAAAAGCGAAAACUGCUGUUAAAAUGGGUUAAAAGGCUUAUUGAGGUUGGGGUGAUUUUUUUAUUUUUUAAAAAAAUUAAUUCGCUUUUAUAUUUUCAGAGUUAAUAUUAAUUUUUUAAAAUAAUAAUAAAAAUAUCAUUUUAAUAUAAUUCCAAGCAAAAACAUAUUUCAAGGGCGAAACUUCCAUUCUCUUAAUAUAAACAGGGUUACGUCAUGCAUUUCCAUUUUUACAACAGUAGUUUUGGCUGCAAUUAGAUGGGGCAAAAUAAGCUAUAACUUUUGUGUGACUUGGAUCAAAUUGAAGAAAUAGAGUGUAAACUGAAAAAUUGAGGCAAGUACAAGGACCCAAAAAUAAAGUAAGCAUUUUAAUUCGAUAUCCAUAUUCCACGGUCCCUCUCUUUCCUUCUUCGGAGCUCCAUUGGAAUUAAAUGAGAACGGCCAUAUUACAGGUCAAGCAUUGAGAGGAGAUAAAUAUAAUUGAAAAGACCAAUUUUCUGCACUCUGUCAAACGUAUCAUAUAGGAAAUCAUAUUGAUGCAAAACUUUAGAAGCCAUCUAAGAUUGGAGAGAAGUUUUGUAACAUUUCCACAUCACAGUUCUACAAACAUGGAAUUAAUGGAAACUUCGGCUAAAAGCAACUGAUUCAAGCAAAUUCCAGAGGAAAGUAACACAAGUAUCUCGAUUGGUGUCAAUACUGGCAAGAACUCCACUUUAGCCAAAAAAUACAAUGUCUAUUCCACUUCAGCCAAAUAAUCAUCAAUUUCGGCUGGAGUUAGUACCCUGCAGUAAAGAAAGCACAAGGGAUAAGUUUGCCAUGGUCAUGCCACACAUAAAUUCUUCCAAGGAAGCUUAAACAUCCAAAGAAAUAGUGGAUUGGCCAUUUUGAACACGAGAUCCAUAUGUAAAUUGUCAGACUGAAACUAGAGCAAGGGUGCGUGAAAAUCAGAACUUCAAAACUGAAACCACAAGUGGAAGGCCAUAUAUGAAAUUGGUGAGAUCCAAAAGAUUUUAGAUAUCAGAUUUUAUCUAGUUAUGAACUGUGUUAACAAAAAUGUGCAUCCUGCAAGUUACUUCUGGAACUCAUCCUAAGCUUGAAAUUACGUGACACUAUUACCAAGUUUAACAAGGAAAAAGGGUACAAUUUCAAUGUUUUUCAAAGAGCAUGCCUGAAUUGACAUGCAAAGACACCUGGUACAGCUGUGGACCUUUGUCAUCAAAACCAGCGAUUAGUAAAGAUACUCCAAAAGGCCUUACACCUCUGCGAGGAAAAACAAAGGAUGAGUAUUUUCAAACUUCAAGAAUAAGAGCAUGAAGAGUUGACAUGCUGAUGCAGGAACAUAGGGAGAGAGUUGUUGGCCUAUUAGAAUAAGGACUAAGGUUAUGAACUUUGGAAAUUAAAAUUCAGAUCUAAAUUACAAAGGAAAUCAACUAAAACCACUGAAACACUUUGAAUGUAUAAAAGAUGUUCCAGUACCCAGAUUGAGUAAACUCUUGCAUGACAGCAGCAGUUUCCCUCACAAGUUGUGUGACAGGAAUUGGUUCCUACAAUCAUAAAAAUUCACAAGUUACAACCUUCCCGAUUAACAACAAAAGAUGACAAUGAAUUGAUAUAAAAUAGUAAUUGGAUAUUUAACUCUUGGAUUUCAAGCAAAAUUAAGCUGUUUUGGGGGUCAGAAUGGCAUUGUUGGGAAUAAGACAACUAAUAAGAAGUCUUGUAAUAUAGACAACCUCAAUACCUGCUUUCCACUUUGGACCUUAGCACGAAUAUCUAAAGGAAAUGUAAUUACCCCGACGCCUCCCCAGGCGGGUGAUAUCUUAUCUUAACCAGGUUAUCAAGCAUUAGACGAAUUAUAUACAUGAGUUUGUUUAGAGGCAUCAAAAGGAUGCACAUAUCCCAUUCAUAAGAUAAGCCAAGAAAAUUUAGCAACCUUAUCACUUAUCAAUGACAUGAAAAGAAAAGCUGAAGAACAAACGUGAAGCAAAAUAAUAAAGAAAAUCUUGAAGAUACCACCUUGUACAGUCUAUGAUAUUGCUCUGCUUGCUUCCUACUUUUCCGAACCAAAACUAGAAAGUCAGGACCCAUUCCACUGCAACAAAAUACAUGUGAUUCAGCACUGUUAAGAAAAAAGUACAGCAAAGCAACCCAUUUUGACAUAGGUAAUAAGUUGCACAAGUUAGUAAGAAGUGGCUCAUUGAGCAACCAAAUUGCCAAGAUGUCUUAUUUCAAACCCAAGUACAGAGGAACUACAUAUUUGUCCCCCUCUUUUUUUCAGUUGAAACAGAAACAGGGUACAUGUACAACGUGUUAAAGUCACGUCCAUAACCAGACCAAUUAAGAACAUUGACCUACAAGGAGUUCCACUGAAGUUCAGAUUAUAACAACAGGCAUGCUUCUAUCUCAAUUUACCACCCCGGGUCAAAUUUCACACUUAUCAGGACACUAUAACAACAGCAGAAACUAUACAAUUUCCCACCAAACAUAAAGAGAGCUUUGAAUCUACACACCCGCCUGCUACAAUCAUUCAUGACAGAUAUUUUAGCAAUAAUUAAGGCCAGAGAAACACAAGCUAAAAAAAUGGAACUUCCUAAUUACUGAGAAGCAGGCAGAAACAAACCUGUAGACAACUCCAAUAUUGGGUGUCAGAUUCUGUAUUUUCUGAACCUGAAACAAGAAGCAAUUAAAUACCAUCAACAACCAACUCAAGUUACAUCCCAUCUUGCAAAUUAGAAUAAUAGACCAAUAAACUGGCUUCAAAAUCAAACCAUCUCCACCUCAGUCAACACGAUUUAAAAUAACCAACACUGCCUUUUUAUACAAUGUGGGAUUAAAGAGGAUAUAAAUCUACACACUCCAACAUUCAAAGCCCCAAUCUUAGAGUCAUUGACUAGUAUAGUAACGCCUCAUUGGCAGGAACCCAAAUCACUAAGCUCAAAUUACUAAUAAAAAUUACAAAUUUACACCGAAUUUGAACAGAUUUCUACCAACCGAUGUCACUAAAGAAAACACAAAAAAAAAAAAACGCAAAAAACCAAAAGGGCUUCUUGAAUUUAAACCAAAGAAUAUAACAAAACCAAUAAAAAAAAUAAUAAAUGUUUACUUACAGAAGAUUCAUCGACUAAAAUAGAUGGCAAUUUCUUCUCAGUUGCAAUAACAACACCGUUUGCCGCUACAACACCAAAAAAAUAAUAAAAUCAACAACAUAAUAUCUAAGCACUCAUCAACAACGUAGUGCAUUCGAAAAUGACAAGAAAAUGAGAGAAAAAAAGAGAGAGAGGGAGCUUAAAUUGCAACAACCUUUGAUUCCGAGAGAAGUUUGGCCUGAUCCAACGGCAGUCAAUGCGUGCUCAAUCUGUACUAGCUUUCCGGUAGGACUGAAAGUAGUGAGAGAAAAGGAGUACUGGCUAUCACCCAUGGUUUAUUGCUUGAAGACGCAGAGAGGAAAAACUGAGAAUGCGAGUGUGUGGGAGAGAAAGACAGGGAUAUUUACUUGGGGUUUUAAGUUUUAACUUUGCUUUUCUCGUUGGAGAAGAAGGUGUUUUCUUACGAGGGCUUUCACAAGGGAGUAUUAUGGGCUUUUAUGACGGCAGGUUGGUCCUCUUUACAUUGAGCUCAAUGAAGGCUCGGAACCAGUUUUGUUUUUAAGUAUUAUUAACAAAUUUUUAUUUAUUUAUUAAUAUAAAUAAUUUUUAAUUUAUUUAAUUACAUUUAUAUAUAUAAUUUUUAAUUUAUUAUAUUUUUUGAACUAGAAAAAUAUAUUUAAAGAACUGCAUAUAUAAAUUUUUAUAAAAAAUAAAAAUAUUUGACUCAUAAUAAAUCAUUCAUAUUUUUAUAAAAAAAUAAAGAUGGGUAAACUCUUAAUUAGGCCUUGCUGCUGAAUUUUGUUGUUGAUUUGUAAUUUAAUUAUUGUUUAAGAUUUUUUGUGUUAGAUUUGGAUAACUUUAUUUGGAUUUAAUCUCCAAAAUUGAUGGGUAUCAUCACUUAUAGAUGAAUGGUUUAGCUUCUCUCAUUUAUUUGGAUUUAAUCCACUGAAACUGAGGUUAAGAAUUUCUUGGAUUUAAUCCACUGAAACAGUUGCUUGAUCAAGAUCAUUGGCUUGUUUGAAGGCAGAUAAAGGCUUAAAAAAAAGGCGAGAGGGAGCGAGAAAGAGAGGAUGUGAGAAAUAAUUAUAGUUGAAACAAAUGAAUUACAUAUCAUUUUAUGUUGAGGAGAGAGAGAGAGGAUGUGAGAAAUAAUUAUAUCAUCUUAGAUUACAAAUCAUUUUGAGAAAAUCUAAAAGAAAAUAUCAUCUUAGAUUAAUUAUAGAUAUGAGUUGCAGUAGUUGAAAUUUCAAAGGCAAUUUUUUUAGAGUAGCAUUUGGAGAAUUUAAGUAAGGAAUAAGCUUCACGUGAGCGAGAUAAUAUCACAGCUGCAUUUGAUAGAGUAAAUGGUAAGUAGGAACUAAAAUCGAAUUACAGUAAAGAGGUCACAUAGAGUAAAUGGUAAGAAUUAACACCAAAGCAAAUAAUUAAUACCCUCAAAAAAGUUCUGCCUUUCUCACCUAAUCAUAAAAAUCAAUGUUUGGGAUGUGAGAAAUCUUUUGCCAAUCUUCACCCAUCUCCUCCUUCCCGUAACGUUCCCUUAGAAUGGGGCACCAUCUUAUCUCCAAUUCCUGUAGAGGCGCUGCCAAAACAUAGUCUGGUAGUGCUCUCAACAACGGGCAAUUAACAAUCAUCAACUCUCGAAGUUGUGGCAUAAUGGAUAUUAUUGAAGUUGUGUUGGCAUCUUCUUCUCCCAAGGAUCUCCUUUCAAUUCCAUCCCACUCCUCUACUUCUGUGAGACCCUCCAUCGCAAGUUUUUUUAAUUUGGGGAAAGCAGUGACCCUUGCAAUUUCUCCUUCAUUAAUACUGGCAUUCUCAUCUUUUUCUAUACCUAAAAAUCCAGCAUCCAGCCUUCUCACCUUCAUCAAAAUCAAUACCAGGCUUUCAAGGUUGGGCAAUCUACCCAACGGAGGCAAGACCUCCAGGUUUUCACAAUAACGGAGUGUAAGCACCUGUAAUCUGGUUAAUGCCAUCAUCCAAUUUGGCAAAUCCAACCCUCCGUACCCAUAUAUGGUUAGAUUUUCCAAGUCUGACGGAGGCCGUAAAGCUUCAAAUAAAAUGCCGUCCUCCAGGUUGUGGUCGAAAACCAAUUCCAAACGAAGCAGGCGCUUCUUAUUCUUGAGUUGUGCUUCUGCAGCGUCCCUCGCAUCUUCUUUACCUCCUCCUAGAUUCCCUAUCUGAAGACUCCCUCCAAUGUGAUUUAAGUUUUUUAAUUCUCUUAGAUUAGCUGCUUUACUUUCAUUCUCACCACCACCACACACAAAAAACUGGUCUAAUGUUCGAAGACAUGUUAUCCUCUCUAUUCCCUUUGGUAUGAAGGCCACACCUGAACCAUAAAUCCGGAGAUGCCUCAAUUUGAUAAGUUUUCCAAUCGCCCGAGGUAAUUCGUUGAGAUAACAACACUGAGUAACGUCUAGGGAUUGCAGAUUGCAUAAAUCACAAAUGGUUUCUGGCAGGGACUCCAACAUUCCACAAAAUGCCAAAUUGAGGUGUCUCAAAUGUAUCAAUUUCCCUACCUGAUUUGGUAUUUCUCUGAUAGAAGACUCUGACAAAUUCAAUGACCUGAUGCAUGUCAACUGCUUGAAUAAAUCAGGUAGUGCAGCUCCAAGCGAAGAGUCUCCAGUGUGGAUCAAGAGGCUGCGAAGACCUUUUGCUUUGUGAAUGGACUUGGGAAAAGAGGUCACCGCUAAAUGACGAACCCUUUCAAUUGAAGUCUUCACUGUUAGACAUUCAUUUUUUGUCAUAUAUUGGGCAAAAUCAUGCACUAUAUCAUGCAUCUUGAAUCUCAUUCCUUCACGAUCACUCUUCUCAAAAUCUUGGAAGAAAGAGCGCGUUGCUAAGACUUGAAAGUACUGCUCUCCUACAAGCUCCAUAUCUCCACCUGAAGUCUCCUUGAGGUAACCUUGAGCCAUCCACAUCUUCACCAAUUCAUCUUUGUCCAUCUCGUAGUCUUUUGGAAACAUGGCACAAUACAAGAAACAUCGUCUUACCACAGAAGGUAAAUCGUAGUAACUCAAAAGCAAAGGUGGAAAUAGUCCUCUUUCAACAUGUUCUAGCUCCCACAGUUCGCUAGAUAAAACAUGUUCCCACUCUUCUCUUGUUCUUUUAGACUGCAUUAGACCUCCUAAUACCUUGGCAGCUAGAGGCAAGCCCUUGCACUUGCUUGCAAUUUUGUCGCCGAUUUCUGUCAAUCUUUCGCACUCAUCUUUGCUUCUUUUAUGGAAUGCCACCUGAUUGAAUAUUGACCUGCAUACCUCAUCAGACAAUUUCUCAAGGUUGAUCACGUGGUCAGUUCCUAUCAUGGUUGCCACAGAAUGUUUACGACUGGUCACUAGAAUUCUGCUUCCUGUUGCACCGCCUUUGAGAGAUAGUUUCAGUGGUUCCCAUUGUCUAUGAUUUUCUGUCCAGACAUCAUCUAGGACAAGAAGGAACCUCUUUCCCUUAAUUGAUUCAGAAACACUUUGCAAAAGGGAUUCCAAUUCAACUAAAUUCGGUGCACCCCCUUGAAGCGCCUCAAGGAUAGCUUUUGAUAUCCUAACCUCAUCGAAUGGAUCUGAUACACACACCCAUAUCUUUUUCUCAAAAUGAGCCGUAACCCGAGCAUCAUUAAAAGCUAGUUGGGCGAGAGUUGUCUUUCCAAUCCCGCCCAUUCCUACUAUAGAGAUCUCCACGUCCCCUGCUUCCUGAAUACUUUCGCCCAGCAACUUGCUUACUACAGCUUCCCUUUCAUCAUCUCGACCACGCACGAUUGAUUCAUCAACAAGGGAGGUACUUGUUAUUCGUUGUAGUUCAUCAGUGGCUCUGUACAACUCAAAGCCAAACAUAGCUCUCUCUUUGGUAAUCUCAUCCACUUUUUCACAUACUUCUUUGAUCUUGAGGGCAAUGUCGCGACGUCGAGCCACUUGAUUGAAACAAAAGCAAGGAGAUCCCAGGAAGGAACAUCGCAUCUUCUGUAGGCUGCGAGUAUUUUCUUCAACUUCCUCCAUUUUCCAUCUAAGAAUUGCAGUGCUCCAUUCAUCUAGCACGUCAUCCAUAUCAUAGCAUACAUCUUUGAGCUUGUCUGCCCAAUCCCUUACAGCCUUAUCCUUCACUUGUUUUCUAUCUGCAUCUUCAAGGACAGAUUGGAUAGCAAGGAGAUUGCUUUUCAGCUUGUCGACUUGUUUCUGCACACCCCCUACUAGGUUCACUUCUUCCUGUACCUAUUGGUGUAGAAAAGACCAGAAAGUUCAAGCAGAGGAAACAGUUCUAUGAUUUCACUACAAGUUUUUAAUUUUAAUUUUUGGGAAUUAAUAGAUUAAAUAAUUUUUAUUAAUCUUUUUUCCGCAUAGUUCACACGUACAGUGAAUUGGAUUGGCUAUAUUAUAAAUUCAUAUAUAAAAUAUUUAUUAAGAACCUAUAUAUUAAAAAUAAUAAUAUUUCUUUUUAUCAUCAUCAUGAUGAUAUCUCUGUCUGCACUCUGCUACUAUACAAGAAAGGAAAAAAAUGAAUCUUAAAUUGUUCGACGUCAAACCUGUAUAUAACAUAAGCUUGGCGGAUCAAAGAAAUAUAAAAGGAAUAAAAGGAAAGUGAAUAAAAGGAUCUGUAUUUGUUGUUAUUUGUAAAGUCUAUAAUAAGAUUAUGGAAGAAAAAAAAGACUUAAAUUUUUAUAUUUCUUAUCAUGUUACGGUUAAUUCGAUCAUUGCAAAUUGUAUAAAAGUAAUUACCUGUUGAGCAACGACCGUGGUUAACUGCUCCAAAAUUGGCGAUAAAAGUGCCUCUGCCAUUUGUCUUUUUGGUUUAAUUUUAUUUUUAAAAAAGAGAUAAUUAUGAUGAUGAACUGAGAGAGAGAGAGAAGAGUGUGAGGGGAAGGAGGCUGCUGGUUGUGAAAUGAAGAGAGAGGGUUAGUUUAUGUACUUGGGGUUUGGUGAUGAGGGUUGACUAUUGUUUCCAUCCCUGUACUGUUUCUAACAUUUCAAUUCAGUCCCUGUAUUAUUGAACGUUUCAGUCUAGUCUCGGUCAGGGGUUUCCAUCUGCGGAUGGCUUUUCCUGAUUGUAUGUUUCUACUGAGAAUGACAUGCCAUUUUGAGUUCCAAAGGUGAAACACUCGUGCUUUUCUAACUUUUCCUGGCUAAGGAUUAUUAUUUGUGGAAAGUAAUUUCUUCUUCGAUUUAUAGCAAUUAUUUUGGAUUGAUACUGACCUUAGGUUAAGAAUGCUGUAGUUUCUACUGAAAUGUAUCUGAUACAGACCUUAGGGACAACUGAUUAUAGCAUUCUUCUCGUCUGCUUCUCUAUUUCUUCUCUUCAUUUUAUGUUAUUCCACUAGUCUUCCAAACUGGAUCACGGUGAUAUAUAUCUGUCCAUCCAAACUAAUUUACCCAAACCAAAAGUAGUAACCAAUUAGCUCGUGUAAUGGAACUAUAAACAAGCAUCUAUCUUUCUGGGUUUUUGAGAUCAGGUGAUUUUAUCCUGUUUUCAUAGCAGGGACUGGGGUUUGAUAUUGAUCUUUGAUUUUACCCAAACCAAAAGUUUGAAAGGAUUGCUGGUUUGUGUGAUUGGAGCUCCUUUCAAUGGGUGUGAAAAGGCCAAGAAAUGAGCAAGAUUUUCUGGAGGAAAGGAUUCAUAUUGUCUGGACUCAAUCACCUUCCUUUCUUCUUCUUCUUCUUUCUGCAGGAAAAAAGUAGAGCAGAGCAACCCUUUUUGACAGAGGCUAGUAAGUUGCAGAAGUUAGUAAGAAGUGGAUCAUUGAGCAACCAAAUAGCCAAGAUGUCUUAUUUCAAACCCAAGUACAGAUGAAUGCCGUAUUUUUAUUUUUCUAAGGAACUGCAUAUUUGUCCCCCCACUUCUUCUUUUUCUGUUGAAACAGCGACAGGGUACGUGUACUCUAGAAAAUAUUUAGAAUGGAAACAAAUAGAAAGUAGCUUAAAAUUGUGAAAAUAUUGUUUUUAAAUUGUUUAUUUCAAACCUAAUUAAUAAUAUGUUUUUGUUUUAGAUAGUUUUUGUGAUUCUGAUUUGAAAAAAAAUAAGUUUUAAAAAAGUACAGCUAGCUGUGAUUAAUUGAAUUUAAAUACGUGUUUAAUAAAAAUUAUGGUUAAAGUUUAUGUAUAAUAAAAAAUAUGUAUAAAAUAUUUGAUAGUUAUGUUUGAGACUGUGGUUGUGAUUGUUUUUUAAAGUGUUUUUUACAUUAAAAUAAUAUUUUUUUAUUUUAAAAAAAUUAUUUUUGAUAUCAGUGCAUCAAAAUGAUCUGAAAACACCAAAAAAAUAUAUUAAUUUGAAAUAAAAAAAAAUUGUUUUUUACCAGUAAAUCAAAGUGUUUUUUACCUCAUUUUUCCUUGAUUAAUUCUAACUACGAAACAGCUACUGCACCAACAAGAUGGAAAAGGCUCACCAAGAUGUUCUCUUUGAAAAGAUUCUCAAUGAGUCGUUGACAUCUCAUACUUGUCUAAAAAUUUUAAUCUUUUUUUGGAAAAGAUUCUCAGUGAGUCUGUCUCCUGGCUUAUUGAUCAACACUUUUAUCAUAUUGUGAACAAACAUGUCAAUUUCCAGAAUUUUAUUGAGUAGGAUGACUGUAUAGAAUUACUCUGAUUUAUCAACACAUAUCAAAUUCUUGCUGCUGCUGAGGAAGAUAUCCUGCACUUAGCCAUCAUAGAGGGUAGCAAGGUUUUGUGUUGAUGGUAAUUACACUGACUCAUCGUCUAUCAUCUAGAAUUCAAUUUUAAAAAAUAUUGCAAGAAAUGUUUUUUUUCCUAAAUACAUCGAUCGGGUGUGGAUAGAUUGAUUACAAAGCGACUUCCUAAAAAGUCUUGGUCUUAAUAUGCAAAGAUGAUCCAAGUAUGCCAUAUAUUAUUUUUUUAAAAUAAAACCCACAUAUCUAGUCCACGCAAAGGUACUCGAAUAUGGAUUUGUAAAAAUAAAAAUGAAUAUUUAUACGAAAUUGAAUUGUGCAAAUAAAACCCACAGAUCUAGUCCAUGAUCUACGGCUCCUCCAGAGUUCCGUAGUGGUGUCUUUCUCAACUAUUCUUUAAAUAAAAUGUUUGGGAUGUGAGAAAUCUUGUGCCUAUCUUCACCCCUCUCCUCCUUCCCGUAACGUUUCCUUAGAGAAUUUAUGUAGAGGCGCUGUCAAAACAUAGGCCGGUAGUGCUCUCAACAAUGGGCAUUUGAGAAUUCUAAACUCACAAGUUGUGGCAUGAUGAAUAUUGAAGUCGUGGUGGAAUCUUCUUCUCCCACUCUCCUUUCAAUCCCAUCCCACUCUUCUAGUUCUUUGAGAUGCCAAAUGCUGAGUUUUUUCAAUUUAGGGAAAGGAGAGUGGUAGUUUUUUCAAUUGGGGCAAUACUCUUCCAAUUCUCUUUCACUAAUAUUUAUUGGUGGAAAAAAUCACUGAUAGUAGUUUUAAAACACUCAAAGAAAAUAAAACAUAUUGUUUUAUUUCAACAACAAGAAGCUUACAAUAAUUAAACAAAAGCUUUUAAUACACACCCUCUUUUUCUCUCUAGUGUUCAUCUCUUAUCUUUCCCACACACAAUUACAUAAACUUACCUAUCUAUUUAUACACAAAUUAAAAGUAAAAAAAAAAAAAUCAAACUUCAAGUGUGAAGGCGGCUGGUGGCUAAACAGUGGGGUCCUUUUGUAUUUUGUCAAAAGAGAUGAAAUUAUAAUCAAUGAUGAUGAUAUAUAUAUAUAUAUAUAUAUAUAUAUAUAUAUAUAUAUAUAAACUACUAUGUGCAUUCUAUAAUUUAGUUAUAUAAUACAAUAGAUCUUUACAAUUAGUGAUUUCAACUUACCAAUAGAGAAAUUAUAGUAGAUCUUUACUAUGAUAUAUUCAAAAUAAAUAAAUAAAACAGGUAUACUUCAACACGCAUAUUAUACAUACACUUCUUUUUUAAAAAUUAAUCAUAAAAAAUUGAUUAGUUAUUUAUUAUAAAAAUCAGACCUGUAAGUUAUAUCUAAAUCAUUGAAAAUAGUAAAGGUAAACUAAUUAGAAGAGACAAUGUAUUUCAAAUUAGUUAAUUUAUAUAGAAUUAUUUUAGUUACUAAAUUAAAAAAUUCAAAUUUUUAUAUCACUUGGAAUACAUAAGGUGGAUUUAAUCCACAAAAUCGAUGGGUGAUAACCUCUAAGAUAUCGAUGGGUACAUAUAUGGUGGAUUUAAUCCACAAAAUCAAUAAGAGACCAAUCGGCUAGCUCCAAAAUCAAACCAUCUCCACCUCAUUCAAACACGAUUUAAAAUAAUCAACACCACCUUUUUAUACAAUGUGGGAUUAAUGAGGAUAUAAAUCCAAGGCUCCAACAUCCAAAGUCUCAAUCUUAGAUUUAUUAGCUAGUAUAGCAACGCCUCAUUGGCAAGAACCCAAAUCACUAAGCUCAAAUUACUAAUAAAAAUUAUAAAUUUUCAGAUAAUAUUUUUAAUAUUUAAUCUUUCUAGCAAUUGAUGAUAGCAAUUGCAAAUGAAUAGAGGAGGAAGCAUCGAGAUCAUUGGCUUGUUUGAAGGCAAAUGGACCCUUUGAUCGUUAGAUGAUGCAUCUAAAUGAGGCUCCACAUUAUAAAAGCGUAAUUAGGUGGCACGCGCUAUCCCACAAACUCACCUUAGAUUUUCAAAAUAAAAUUAGAUGGAGGAUCCAUGUCUAUUUGGGUCCUCCCUAGACAGGACCCCAACAUAUUCGGGUCCAGUAACGACCAGGUCCAAGUCUAGCGUUGGGCUAGGUUGGGUAGGACCCAAGGUUAUUUGGGUGUACCUGGCAGAAUCCAAGAUUGUUUUUGAGUCCUGCAACUAAUAAUUAUAUGUAAUUUCUAAAUGAAACUAAAUGUAAAAUUAAAUAUAAUUUGAUAAAAUUAUUAUAAACAUUUGGUAAAAUUAGUAAAUGAUAUAACAUUUUCUUUCAAAUUCAUCAAUUAUUUAAAUAUUAAGUACAAAAAAUACUCUUAUGAAUUUUGAUAAAAAUAAUAAUAUUUAUAAUACAACUGAUAACAUUUUUAGUAUUAAAUUAUUAAUUAAUAUAAAUAAUAUUAUUUAUAACACCAAAAAUAAUAAUAUUUUUGAGAUUAAUACUAUUAAUUAGACUAAAAAAUAAUAUUAAUAAAACAAAUAAUAAUAUUUCUAAUACUAAUACUAUUAAUUAUACUAAAAAUAUAUAUUAAUAAAAAUAUAAAAUACUCUUAAUAUUAAUUAUACUAAAAAAAUAUUAAUAAAACAAAUAAAUAUUUUAAUACUAACUUGUAAUUAUACUAAAAAUAUGGGCAGCCCAAGCGCUAAGUGAUGCUUGGACUACACUCAAGAGAAAUCAUAUUAUUUUAAAAUAUUUGUCCACUAAUUGCUAUUGAAUUUAAAAUAAAUAUACUUUUAAAACUAAUAUAAAGUUACCAAUAGUCGAUUUGAUAGCUGCUUGCAUAAAAUCUCAUUGAAUUUGGCCAAUGGUUUUUUAGAAUAAAGUAAAAAAAAAGUUAUUUCAAAACAUAACCAAAGUAGUUUUAGUUAUUUGUCAGAAACUAGUAUAUCCCAUAAAAAUCAGAGUUUUGGAUGAAAUAAAAUCAAUUCUAAAAUCAAACGCCGAUUGAAGCUUCAACGCAUUUGUGAACUAGAGAAUUUAAUUAUUAAACUCGUUUGUUUCGCGUUCAAAAAUAUUUUAAAAUUAUUUUAUUUUUUAUUUAUUUUUUUGUUUUUUAAAUUAAUAAUUUUUUUAGUAUAUUUAGAUCAUUUUAAUGUGUUUAUAUAAAAAAUAAUUUAUAAAAAAUAAAAAAAAUUAUUAUUUUAAUAUAUUUCUAAUAAAAAAUACUUUGAAAAAUAAUUAUAAUAAUACUGUCACACAUGCUGUUUAAUGUUUGUUCAAAAAUUGUGCUUUUUAAAAUAUGCAUUCUAACGCAAAGAAAGCAUAUAAAACACAUCAAAGUUGCAAAAGUACGUAGUUUUAAUUAUUAGCAAAAGUAUUCUAAAAUAUGAAAAGAUAGGUUUAAAUACCCUAAAUAUCCGUAAAUAACUAGAAAAAAAUUAAUAAAACUAAAAUCCAAAAUUAUCAAGGCAAAAAUCUAAAAUAUGGUCUGAAACUUCAAAGGCAAUUUUUUUAGAGUGGCAUUUGGAGAAUUUAAGUAAGGAAAAAGCUUCACGUGAGCGAGAUAAUAUCAUCUUAGAUUAAUUCUUUAACAUGUAAAAUUUAAGUCUAAUUCAAUAAUUAAAUAAAAAAUUACCUCUUCCUGCCGGUCUUAACUAUUCUUUAAAUAUAAACAUAUGAAUUACAUAUUAUUUUAUAUAUGUUGAGAGAGAGAGAGAGAGAGAGAGAGGAUGUAUACUAUAUAUAUCACAGCUGCCUUUGAUAGAAUAAAUGGUAAGUAGGAAAUACAAUCCAAAGUCAACAUUAUACAGUAAAGAGGUAUAUGAAACAUACCUCGUCCUGCCUGUCCUACAGAUUAUGGUAAGUCGGAAAUCGAAUUACAGUAAAGAGGUCACAUAGAGUAAAUAGUAAGGCUUACAUAUUAUUUACACUCAACCUUAGCAAACACCAAAGCAAAUAAUUAAUACACUCAGAACCAAAUCUUUUACCGUUAAGAAUUAACACUGGUGGAAGAAUUUAUCAUCAAAAUAAAUGUUUGGGAUGUGAGAAAUCUUUUGCCAAUCUUCACCCAUCUCCACCUCCUUCCCGUAACGUUAGAUUGGGGCAACCAUAUGCGUAGAUCCUGUAUAGGCGCUGCCAAAACAUAGUCUGGUAGUGCUCUCAACAACGGGCACCAACGAAUUGUCAACUGUCGAAGUUGUGGCAUAAUGGAUAUUAUUGAAGUUGUGUUGGCAUCUUCUUCUCCCACUCUCCUUUGAAUUCCAUCCCACUCUUCUACUUCUUCGAGAUCCCAAAUCUCAAGUUUUUUAAUUUGGGGAAAGCAGUGACCCUUGCAAUUUCUCCUUCCUUAAUACUGGCAUUCUCAUCUUUUUCUAUACCUAAAAAUCCACCAUCCAGCCUUCUCACCUUCAAAAGUACCAGGUGUUCAAGGUUGGGCAAUCUUCCCAACGGAGGCAAGAACUCCACGUUUUCACAAUAACGGAGUGUCAGCACCUGUAAUCUGGUCAAUGUCAUCAUCCAAUUUGGCAAUUCCAACCCUCCGUAACAAUAUAUGCUUAGAUCUUCCAAGUCUGACGGAGGCUGCAAAGCUUCAAUUAAAGAGCCUUCAUGCUCUGGCAACACUGUUUUCUCUCCGAAGAAAUUCAAUACCAAACGAAACAGGCGCUUCUUAUUCUUGAGUUGUGCUUCUGCAGCGUCACUCGCAUCUUCUUUACCUCCUCCUAGAUUCCGUAUCUGAAGACUCCCUCCAAUGUGAUUUAAGUUUUUUAAUUCUCUUAGAUUAGCUGCUUUACUUUCAUUCUCACCACCACCACACACAGUAAACACAUCUAAUGUACCAACAGGUGUGUGGCUCAAGUGGUGAAGGGGGCAGCUCUCCUUUCAUCGAACCCAGGUUCGAAUCCCAGUGGGAGUGGGGCUGGAGAGUUUGCUCUCUUCCUAUUUCUCUUGGGUCCUCCCUGUGCGGUAUCCCUGUCACCCCCGCGGUGUCUUACCUGCUCACUAGGGCUUGCAGGAUGUUCAGUGGGCCGUGGGAUUAGUCGUGGUGCGCGUAAGCUGGCCCGGACACCCACGUUAUCAAAAAAAAAAAAAAAAAAAAAAAAACACAUCUAAUGUUUAGUUAUAUAAUUGAUCAUCGUGGCUACAAAAUGAAGUGGAACUAAUAAUUAAUGGAGUGGAAUACUAAAUAAAAUGAAUUGCUAUGUGUAUUCUAUAAUUUAGUUAUAUAAUAUAGGCAGAUAUGUACAAAUUAGUCAUUUCAACUUAUCAAUAAAGAAAUUAUAAUAGAUUUUCACCGUGGUAUGAUCGCAAUAAAUAAAAUAAAAUAGAUAUAUCUCACAGCAUUAAUAAUUUUUUAGUUUUUGUUAAACAAUGUCAACAUAUAUAUAUAUAUUAUACAUACACUCAUUUCUUUAAAAAUAAUUAUAAUAAAAUUAAUUAGUUAUUUAUUAUAAAAACCUGACCUAUGAGUUAUGUCUAAGCUGUUAAAAAUAGUAAAAAUAAAAUAAUUUGAAAAUAGAAUUAUUAAUUAAUUUAUAUCAAGUUGUUUUAUUUAUUAAAUUAAAAAAUCCAAGUUUUAUAUCACCUAGAUUACUUAUGUUGGAUUUAAUCCAUAAAAUUGAUGGGUAUCAUCUCUUAUAUAUGAAUCGAUGGGUAUCAAGUUACAUGCCAUCUUGCAAAUUAGAAUAAUAGACCACUCGACUGGCUCCAAAAUCAAACCAUCUCCACCUCAUUCAACACGAUUUAAAAUAAUCAACACCACCUUUUUAUACAAUGUGGGAUUGAUGAGGAUAUAAAUCUACAGACUCCAACAUCCAAAGUCUCAAUCUUAGAGUUCUUAUCUGGUAUAGUAACGCCUCAUUGGCAAUAACCCAAAUCACUAAACCCUAAAUCACUAAUAAAAAUUACAAAUUUACACCGAAUUUGAACAAAUUUCUACCAGCCGAUGUCACUAAACUCAAAUUACUCCUAAAAAUCUCAAUAUAAACCCAUUAACUACUAGACCAACAACUCAUUGGCUAGAAUCCACGUUGCUUUUCCACAACAAUCAUCAGCUUCUUCAAUUAGGAUGCUACAAGCCCUUGUCUAUAUACUAGCUUAAAUUGCAACAACCUUUGAUUCCGAGAGAAGUUUGGCCUGAUCCAACGGUAGUCAAUGCGUGCUCAAUCUGUACUAGCUUUCUGGUAGGACUGAAAGUAGUGAGAGAAAAGGAGUACUGGCUAUCACCCAUGGUUUAUUGCUUGAAGACGCAGAGAGGAAAAACUGCGAAUGCGAGCGUGUGGGAGAGAAAGGCAAGGAUAUUUACUUGGGGUUUGAACUUUGCUUUUCUUGUUGGAGAAGGAGGAGUUUUCUUACGAGGGCUUUUACAAUGGAGUAUUUUGGGCUUUUAUGACGGCAGGUUGGUUCUCUUUACAUUGAGCUCAAUGAAGGCUUUAAUUUUUUAAACUUAACUUUAUCCGGGUCAGUUCACGGGAGAAGUUUAAUUUUUUUUUUUUUAAGAAAAUAAAAUAACAUUAUUUUUAGUACUUUUUUAAAAUGAUAUUUUACCUGAGUCCACAGGCGAUGUAUAAAGUUUUUUUUAUUUAAAAUAAUAUUUUUUUUUUAUUUUAAUAUUUACUUACUAUUUGUAUACUAAAACAGUAAAACAUGUGAGAUUUUCACUUUAUAUUUGUUACUGUGCAAAAUUUUAUUUUUUAGUUUAGUCCUCAAACUUUAUUUUUGAACUAUCAAGUCCUAUUUAAAAAACAAUUGAUUUUAAAUUCUGAUAAAAAAUUUGGAUUGGAAGAGAGGAACUGAAAUGAAAAACACGAUAGAUAUGGGUAACGCACCUUAAAUUUUUAAAACAUUCUCUUUGGUCUUCCAACUUAAACAAUCACACAAAUUAUAUAAUUUUGGUACCUCAAAAUUGUUCCAAUUCCAUUUUGGUGCGAAGAUUUAUUUUUGUUAUUUUCUAGUUCCUAAUUAAGAGAGGAGAGAAAGAAAGGGGUCACUAGAUUCCAAUAAUAAAAAGAGAAACUUGUCGUUGACACCAACUUAAACCACUAAAAUAAGGGAUCUUUAUGUCAAAUUAUUAGGGGAGUUCCUAUUAGAUGUUUUUGUAACUUAAAAGUUCAUGAAAAAAAGGAUCUAAACUCGGGUUAAUUUUUUUUAUUUUAGACUGUGUUUGGUUUUUUAGGCAGUUUUUUGGAUCUAGUAUGGUUUCCCGAUCCAAGUACCUAGGGUCUGGCAUAGUUGCUAUAAAAAUAUAACUUUAAAGAAUAUAAUUAAAAACAAAUAAAGUGACGUGAUUAGUUAAAAACUAAAAAUAAUAAUAAAAAAAAAGACUUAACCUCAUUUUUUUGUUGUUCAGAAGGCUUCUUUUAAAUAAUAUUAAUUUUUUUUAUGAGUUUAAUUUUCAGAGAGGUUUUCUAGUGUAUUUAUGGUUUUGUUUGUCUUUUAUAUAAAUAAAUUAUAUUUUGAAAAUAACAAAAUAUUUAUUUUCAGAUAAUAUUUUUAAUAUGUAGUCUUCGUAGUGAUUGAUGAUGCCAAUUGUAAAUGAAUGGAGGAGGAAGCAUCAAGAUCGUUAGCUUGUUUGAAGGCAGAUAGACCUUUGAUCAUUAGAUGAUGCCUCUAAACGAGGCUCCAUAUUAUAAAGGCAUAACAAAGAGAGGAUGAGAGAAAUAAUUAUAGACCAGUUAGGUGGUUUGUGCUACAUCGCGGGCUCACCUUUAAUUUCUAAAAUAAAACUGGGUGAGUACCCAAGUCUAUUUAGGUCCUUUUCAAAUAGGAGCCAAGCAUAUUUGGGUUCUAUCGCGGCCAAGCCAGGUAGGACCUAAGGUUAUUUGGGUCAUGUACCUGGCAGGACCCAAGGUUAUUUUUGAGUCCUACAACUAAUAAUUUGUAUUUAAUUUUUAAAUAAAACUAAAUGUAAAAUUAAGUAUAAUUUGAUAAAAUUAUUAUUACAAUACAUUUGGUAAAAUUAAUAAAUGAUAUAACAUUUUCUUUCAAAUUCAUAAAUUAUUUUAUUAAUAAUAUUAAUUACAAUAAAAUAUACUCUUAUAAAUUUUAAUAAAAAUAAUAAUAUUUAUAAUACAACUGAUAAAAUUUUUAGUAUUAAUAUUAUUAAUUAAUAUAAACAUAAUAUUAUUUAUAACACCAAAAAUAAUAAUAUUUUUGAGAUUAAUACUAUAAAUUAGACUAAAAAAUAAUAGUAAUAAAACAAAUAAUAAUAUUUUUAAUACUAAUACUCUUAAUAUUAAUUAUACUAAAAAAAACUAUUAAUAAAAAAAAUAAUAUUUCUAAUACUAAUAUUUGGAAUUAUACUAAAAGUAUGUACGGGCAGCCCAAGCGUUAAGUGGCGCUUGAACUGCACUCAAGAAAAAGCAUAUUAUUUUAAAAUAUUAUUUGUCCACUAAUUGCUAAUAUAAAUACACUUUUAAAACUAAUAUAAAGUCACCCAGAGUCAAUUUGAUAGCUGCUUGCAUAAAAUCUCAUUGAAUGUGGCCAAUGUUUUUUAGAAUAAAGUGAAAUAAAAAGUUAUUUCAAAACAUAACCACAGUAGUUUUUAAUUAUUGGUCUAGAAACUUUAGUAUAUCUCAUAAAAUCCAUGAGUUUUGGAUGAAAUAAAAUCAAUUCUAAAAUCAAACUCCGAUUGAAGCUUCAACUGCAUUUGUGAGCUAGAAAAUUUAACUUAUUAAGUUAGGUUUGUUUUUGCAUUUUAAAAGCGUUUUUAAAAAUUUUAAAUUUAUUUUAUUUUUUUCUUUGCUUUAAAUUAUUUUUUUUUUGUGUUUUUAGAUCAUUUUGAUGCGCGAAUAUCAAAAAUAAUUUUUAAAAAAUAAAAAAAAUAUUAUUUUGAUAUAUUUCUAAGUAAAAAUCAUUUUAAAAAGUAAUCACAACAAUAUUUUCACACAAUCUCUUCAAAACUUGUGCUUUUUAAAACAUGCAUUCAAACGCAAAGAAAGCAUAUAAAACACAUCAAAGUUGCAAAAGUAUGUAGUUUUAAUUAUUAGCAAAAGGGUUUAAAUACCCUAAAUAUCCGUAAAUAACUAGAAAACAAUUAAUAAAAAAAUAAUAAAACUAAAAUCCAAAAUUUUCAAGGAGAAAAUCUAAAAUAUGGUCUGAAAUUUCAAAGGCAGCUUUUUUAGAGUGGCAUUUGGAGAAUUUAAGUGAGGAAUAAGCUUCACGUGAGCGAGAUAAUAUCAUCUUAGAUUAAUUUUUUUAACAUGUAAAAUUUAAGUCUAAUUCAAUAAUUAAAUAAAAAAAAUUACCUCUUCCUGCCUGUCUUAACUAUUCUUUACAUAUGAACAUAUGAAUUACAUAUUAUUUUAUGUUGAGAGAGAGAAAGAGAGAGAGAGAGAGAGAGAGAGAGGAUGUGAGAGAGAGAGAGGGGUGUAUAUAUAUAUCACAGCUGCAUUUGAUAGAAUAAAUGGUAAGCAGGAAAUACAAUCCAAAGUCAACAUUAUACAGAUAUUUGACUCACAAUAAAUCAUCCAUACUCUUAUAAAAAAUAAAGAUGGGUAAACUCUUAAUUAGGCCUUGCUGCUGAAUUUUGUUGUUGAUUUGUAAUUUAAUUAUUGUUGAAGAUUUUUUGUGUUGGCAACCCAAACUAUCAUUGUGUUGGGUUUGGAUAACUUUAUUUGGAUUUAAUCUCCAAAAUCGAUGGGUAUCAUCACUUAUAGAUGAAUGGUUUAGCUUCUCUCAUUUUUUUGGAUUUAAUCCACUGAAACUGAGGUUUAAGAAUUUCUUGGAUUUAAUCCACUGAAACAGUUGCUUGAUCAAGAUCAUUGGCUUGUUUGAAGGCAGAUAAAGGCUUAAAAAAGAAGAAGCAAAUAUCAUCUUAGUUGAAAUUUCAAAGGCAAUUUUUUAGAGUAAAGAGGAAAUAAUUAAUACACUCAAAGCAGGUUCUAAAGAGUUCUGUCUUUCUCACCAAACAUGCAAAUAAAUCUUUGGGAUGUGAGAAAUCUUUUGCCAAUCUUCACCCAUCUCCUCCUUCCUACAGCUGUAACGUUUCCUUAGAAUGGGGCAACCCCUUAUCCCCAAUGCCUGCAGAGGCGCUGCCAAAACAUAGUCUGGUAGUGCUCUCAACAAUUGGCAAUAUUCAAUUCCCAAGUACUGAAGUUGUGGCAUAAUGGAUAUUAUUGAAGUUGUGUUGGCAUCUUCUUCUCCCACUCUCCUUUCCUUCCCACUCUUCUACUUCUCCGAGACCGUCCAUCCAAAGUUUUUUUAAUUUGGGGAAAGCAGUGACCCUUGCAAUUUCUCCUUCAUUAAUACUGGCCUUCUCAUCUUUUUCUAUACCUAAAAAUCCAGCAUCCAACCUUCUCACCUUCAUUGAGCUCAAUACCAGGCUUUCAAGGUUGGGCAAUCUUCCCAACGGAGGCAAGACCUCCACGUUUUCACAAUCACGGAGUGUAAGCUUCUGUAAUCUGGUUAAUGUCAUCAUCCAAUUUGGCAAAUCCAACCCUCCGUAGCUAUACAUGGUUAGAUUUUCCAAGUCUGACGGAGGCUGUAAAACUUCAAGUAAAAUGUCGUUCUCCCGGUUGAAGUCAAAAUCCAAUUGCAAACAAAGCAGGCGCUUCUUAUUCUUGAGUUGUGCUUCUGCAGCGUCACUCGCAUCUUCUUUACCUCCUCCUAGAUUCCGUAUACGAAGACUCCCUCCAAUGUGAUUUAAGUCUUUUAAUUCUCUUAGAUUAGCUGCUUUACUUUCAUUCUCACCACCACCACACACAGUAACACAUCUAAUGUUUGAAGACAUGUUAUCCUCUCUACUCCCUUUGGUAUGAAGGCCACACCUGAAAGAACAACCCGGAGAUGCCUCAAUUUGAUAAGUUUUCCAAUCGCAUUAGGCAAUUCCUUGAGAGAAGCACACAGAGUAACGUCUAGGGAUUGCAGAUUGCAUAAAUCACACAUGGUUUCUGGCAGGGACUCCAACUGAUAACAAGAUGCCACAUUGAGGUGUCUCAAAUGUAUCAAAUUCCCUACCUCGUUUGGUAUUUCUUUGAUUGAAGACCUUGUCAAAUUCAAUGACCUGAUGCAUGUCAACUGCUUGAACAAAUCAGGCAGUGCAACUCCAAGCGAAGGGUCUCUAGUGUCCAUCAAGAGGCUGCGAAGACCUUUUGCUUUGUGAAUGGACUUGGGAAACGAGCUCUCCUCUGACAGCAUCAUGCUUAAAUGACGAACCCUUUCAAUUGAAGUCUCCACUGUUGCUUUUCCAAGUUUACUGGCAUCCACUGUUAGACAUUCAUUUUUUGUCAUAUAUUGGGAAAAAUCAUGCACUAUAUCAUGCAUCUUGAAUUUCAUUCCUUCACACCAAUCCAUCUCAAAAUCUUGGAAGAAAGAACGCGCUGCUAAGACUUGAAAGUACUGCUCUCCUACACCCGAAGUCUCCUUGAGGUAACCUUGAGCUAUCCACAUCUUCACCAAUUCAUAUUUUCCCAUCUUGUAGUCUUUUGGAAACAUGGCACAAUACAAGAAACAUCGUCUUACCACAGAAGGUAAAUCGUAGUAACUCAAAAGCAAAGGUAUAAAUAUGCGUCUUUCAACCUGAUCUCUAUCAACCUCAUCUAGCCUCCACAGUUCGCUAGAUAAAACACGUUCCCACUCUUCUCUUGUUAUUUUAGACUGCAUUAGACCGCCUAAUACCUUGGCAGCUAGAGGGAAGCCCUUGCACUUGUUUGCAAUUUUAUCUCCGAUAUCUGUCAAUCUUUCGCACUCAUCUUCGCUUCUUUCCUGGAAUGCCACAUGAUUGAAUAUUGAACUGCAUAUCUCAUCGGACAAUUUCUCAAUGUUGAUCCGGUGGUCAGUUCCCAUCAUCGUUGCCACAGCGUCCUUACGAGUGGUCACUAGAAUUCUGCUUCCUCGUGCACAGCCUGUGAGAGAUGGUUUCAGUUGUUCCCAUUGUCCAUGAUUUUCUGUCCAGACAUCAUCAAGGACAAGAAGGAACCUCUUUCCCUUAAUGGAUUCAGAAACCCUUCGCAAAAGGGAUUGCAAUCCUACCAAAUCAGAUGCCCUCCCUUCAAGCUCCUCAAGGAUACCUUUGGCUAUUCUAACCUCAUCAAAUGGUUCUGAAACACACACCCAUAUCUUUUUCUCAAAAUGAGCCGUAACCUCAGCAUCAUUAAAAGCUAGUUGGGCGAGAGUUGUUUUUCCAAUUCCGCCCAGCCCUACUACAGAGAUGACAUCCACGUCCCGUGCUUCUUGACUACUUUCAGCCAGCAACUUGCUUACAACAUUUCUCUUUUCACCAUCUCGACCAAUCACGCUUGAUUCAUCAAACAAAGGAGGUAGUUGUUAGUCGCUGGAGUUCAUCAGUGGCUUUGUACAGAUCAAAGCCAUACUUAGCUCUCUGUUUGGCAAUGUCAUCCACUUUUUCACAAACUUCUUUGAUCUUCAGGGCAAUGCCGCGACGUCGAACCACUUGAUUGAAACAAAAGCAAGGAGAUCCCAGGAAGGAACACCGUAUCUUCUGUCGGCUGUGAGUAUUUUCUUCAGCUUCCUCCAUUUUCCAUCUAAGAAUUGCAGUGCUCCAUUCAUCUAGCACGUCAUUCAUAUCAUAACAUGCAUCUUUGAGCUUGUCUACCCAAUAUCUUACAGCCUUAUCCUUAACUUGUUUUCUAUCUGCAUCUUCAAGGACAGACUGGAUAUCAAGGAGAUUGCUUUUCAGCCUGUCGACUUGUUUCUUCACACCCACUACUAGGUUCACCUCUUCUUGUACCUAUUAGUGUACAAAAGAUAAGGAAGUUCAGGCAGAGGAAACAUUUCUAUGAUUUCACUGCAAAUUUUUAAUUUUAAUUUUUUGUAAUUAAUAGAUUAAUAAUUUUUUUUAAUCUUUUUUUCGCAGUAGCUGACACGUACAGUGAAAUGGAUUUGCUAUAUUAAAAUAUAUAUUAAAAUCCUAUAUAUUAAAGAUAAUAAUAUUUCUUUUUAUCAUCAUCAUGAUGAUAUCUGCCUGCACUCUGCUACUAUACAAGAAGGAAGAAACCUAUAUAUAACAUAAGCUUGUUGGAUCAAAGAAACAUAGAGAAUGAAAGGAUCUGUAUUUGUUGGUAUUUGUAAAGUCUAUAGUUUUAAAGUGAAAAAUAUUCUUCCUUCAUAACACUCACUAAUUAUUUUAACAUUUGAUUGAUUAUUUUACAGUUUAGUGAGAGGAUCGACAACUACUACUCCUUUUUCCUUCUAAGGAUAUUUGUUUUAGAUUAUUUCCGGAAAUAUGAAAAACAAUAAAACAAUAAAAAGAAAUUUCUUUAAUAAAAUCCAAAUCUAGAUCUGAGGAUUUGAUAUUUUAUUUUAUUUUUCUAAUAAAGGAAGAAAAAGAGACUUCAUUUUUAUAUUUCUUAUUCAUGUAAGGGUUAAUUAGAUCGUUGCAAAUUUUACAGUUAAGCAGUAGUUUGCUGAUUGAAAUGACUGUAAAUGGAUCCCAAUUGGAAACUGUCAUAAUUGAACUGCGAGCUCCGUUUUAUGUUUCUUCAGAACAUCAGUUUCCAUCGUGAUGCCUUCUUCCUUCAUCAAAAAGUGGGCAAAAUCAUAGGAGUAUGUGUCGCCUCUUCAACUUUAAAGAGUCCUCCUUCUUUUCUUGAAAAUCCUGGAAAAAAAGCUAAGAUUUUGAAGUACUCCUUACCAGCCAGCUCCAUUUGAUCUGUAUGGAAACGGACAGCUCUCCAUCAAUCAGCAACGGAGGGGUAGGGAGGUGAAGAAGAGAGGGAAUAGAUGAAAUCCCUAAUAGUAGCUUGGUGUUUUUUGUUCCAAUGACCAAACCAGAUAAUGUACGAGUUGACAGGUGCAGCCAGAACAGGCCCCUAGAAAAGCAACUGAAGGUCUACUACAUCAGAUGACCCUUCAUAGUUCUUGGCCCGGUUGAAUAGGUCGUCUAGACAAACAAAACAGAGAGAGCAAGAGUACAUUGUGUAGCAUAAGCUUAUUAUGCAUUUAAGUCUUUAGACUUUUUUUAUUAUUAUUAUUAACGUAGGUGUCCAGGUCAGCUUCCGCGCACCUUGAUUAAUCUCACGGGCACAUUGUCAGAAAUUACAGCAAGAAAUUCUGUAAUUAUUGUAAGAAAGAAGGGCAUGUAAUCAAGGAAUGUCGUCUGCGACCACAAAAUCGACAAGGAUUUACUGUGCAGUCGAAAUUGGGGGCUGCUUUUAUGGCCGCCGAAGCCGUGUCCUCACCAUCGACACUGGAAUCUUCAUCGUCGGUGAGCUCUUCGUCGAGCACUCUCACUCCCGAGAUGGUGCAGUAGAUGAUAAUAUCUACCUUCUCUGCACUCGGGAUUUCUGGUAAGAAAAAUAAACUUAACUUUCCCUUAGAUUCAGCACAUAAUAAACAAUGGUUAAUGGAUUUGGCAUCGUCUAAUCACAUGACCAACAGUGAAAAUGGGUUGUGUAAUGUGCUAAAAUACAUGGGUAAUUAGCAUAUACAGGUAGCAAAUGGUGAUAAUCUGCCAAUUUUGUCGAUUGGUAAUUUGGGGUCUUACUUCAAUAAUAUUUUUGUGUCACCAAAAUUAUCAACAAGUUUACUCUCUGUUGGUCAAAUGGUAGAAAAUAACUGUGAAAUUCACUUUGAUCAUCAUGGUUGUUGUGUGCAGGAUCAAGUGUCGGGGGAAGGUAAUCGCGAAGGGGCCUAAAGUGGGACGUUUAUUUCCAAUACAAUUUUCUAUUCCUAGUAUUAAUUCUUGUGCUUAUUCUACUCUCAUUCAUAAUCCUCAUUUUUGGCAUAAGAAAUUAGGGCAUUCUAAUUCUAAUGUAUUGACUUAUCUUAUGAAACAUGGAUAUUUGGGGAAUAUAAACUCUUUUUCAACAGAAUUUUUGGAUUGUAGUUCUUGCAAAUUGGGUAAAAGCAAAGCAUUAUCAUUCCCUUCACAUGGUAGUUGUGCUUCUAAAUGUUUUGAAAUUAUUCAUACUGAUGUAUGGGGCAUAAGCCCUGUUAUCUCUCAUGCUAAGUAUAAAUAUUUUGUCACGUUUGUUGCUACCUAAUUUUUGAUAAAUUUUCAGAAAAAUCAAAAAUAGCAAAAAAAACAAAGAAAAACCCAAAAAUAUAUUUUUGAUGUAUUUGCAUCGUUUUUAGCAUUUUCAAUGCCAUCUCAAAAGAAUUUAAAUUUUUAAAGGAAUUUUGGAACGCGUUCAACUUUUAACGCGUAAAAUUUUAUGAUCACUGAUUUUUAUUUUUGAGUUGACGGUGAUAUUGCUCGCUUUCGAAAACACAAAAAAAGAGAGAAAAUCAAAAUUUAAGAAAAAAAAGAGGAAAAGUUGAGGGACCAUUGUGAUUUUGGCCAUGCCACAUUUCUCCUAUAAAUACUAAGCUACAGUAAUGAACCAAGGGGCGAAAAAUAGACACAGGGAGAAAAAUGGUUUCACGGGGGAGAAAUUUACAUGGGGGGAAAGGCAAGUAGAAAAAAACCCUAAAGCCAAAAAAAAAAACCUAGAAACUAAAAAAACCCUUUCUUCCCCGGCAGCCGCCCUUGGCCUUUGAAAAAAACCUAGAACUAAUGAUUUUCUUCCUUAGCCACAACGCUGACCUCUCUUUUUGAAAAAGGGAGGAACAGACCGCCGCUGCAGAGUCUUUGAAAGGAAAAAGUCACCUGGCUAGGCGUUUCAAACAGCCCCGCCUCUCCUCUCUCCUUUUCUUCUCCCGAAACUAGCCAAAACUGACCCUCUCACUCUCAGCACAAAGCAGCCGCCCCCUUUACCCCCAUCUUCUUCUCCCUCAACCGACAGAUCUCACCCUCCAAUAGCAACCCCUCUUGCACGAAAAAACCCAGAGAAACCGUCCCUAAGCUCUCCAUUUUCCCUGCAGGAGGAGAGAAACCCACCGGACACAAGCCUUCUCCAGGUCUCCCCCGGAGCCGCCGCCCCCCAUCGUCUUGGAUUUGUUUCUCUCCCGAGACCAGCCGGCCACUCAUUUUUUCCCUUGGCUUGCUAAACAAAGCGGAGAAACUGGAGAGCAUCAGACUGACCUCUCUCUCCCUCGGCCGACCACCAUCAACCGGUCAACAGCAGCAUCUUCCCUUCUCCUGCAGCUCGUUACAGAGACAAUGAGAAGGGAGGCCAGAGGAUAGUGAAGAAGGGGCAGAAAACCGAAGCUUGGAUGGGCGCCGAUCUCGCAACCAUGGCAGCGGUGGACAACACCACCGUUGCAGAAACGAAAUGGGAGGAAGGGAAGUUGCUGAUCCAGCCAUCCACACGCCUGGUCUGUGGGCGGCGCGUGUAACGCCCAGCUUCAGAUUCGGCAGAUUUGAAGAAAAGAGAGGAGAAGCAGAUCCGAAAACAGUGAUUGAAAAAUAACUAAAAUCAGCUGGCUUUUUGUGCUUUGAUUUUUCUUUGCAGGUCACCACCGGUGGAAGAGGGGAUGAGGCCGUUGAAGACCCCCUGUGUUGUGUGGAUUUUUGCGGCGGCGCGUGGAUGCACGCGCCGCUACUGUUCAGGCAGCUCCAAAAAUUGUUUUCCUGAAUUUUUGGGACUAUUCUGUAAUUUUCAAUUAUGUGAUGUAAUUUUUGUUUAGUUUUGAAUUUUUUAUUUGUAUGUUGUGAAUUUGAAUGUAACAAAAAAAACAAAAAAAAAAGAAAGAAGAGAAAGGAAAAGAAAAAUAAAUAAUAUAAAGAAAGUUGUGUGUGUGUUUGUUUUUUUAUUUAUGUUAUUGAAUUAUAAAAAUAAAAAAAGGACAAAAAGAAUUAUUUGUUUAAUUUGAAUAUGGUUAAAUAUUUAAGGACAAAUAAAAUUAUGUUAUAUUUUCUAUGAAAGUGUAAGAACAUGUUUUUACACGUAUUCAGGGAUUUAAUAAUUGAUUUAUUAAAGUCUUAGAAUUUGAUUAAUAUUUUAAAUUUUCAAAUCAUAUCAAACCACGAAGCAGCUUAGCUCAGGUAGGGUGCUGUAGGGGUACUAAUACCUUUUCUAGCCACAAUCAGUCCCUUACCCUAGAAUCUCUGACCACGACCAGUAAAUCAUGGUUUUCUAGUAACCCUCUAUUAAAUACUAGGUGGCGACUCUCAAAGAACCAAUCAAGCAAAGACAACGAAAAAUUGCCAAAUCACCGCGUGGGGGACGUGCGACAAUGUUUAUUGAUGAUUUCAGUCGUUUCACUUGGAUAUAUUUUCUUCGAUCUAAGACUGAUUUAUUCUUAACAUUUCAGGCUUUCGUUGUAUUUAUUGAAAAUCAAUUUUCUACUCAUAUUAAAAUACUUUGUUCUGACUCCGGGGGGGAAUAUGUGUCCAAAGAACUUCAGGAAUAUCUCAAAAACAAAGGGAUUCUCUCUCAAAGAUCUUGUCCUUACAUUCCUUAACAAAAUGGAGUUGCUGAGCGUAAGAAUCCUCAUCUUUUAGAUGUUCGCACCUUAUUAAUUGAUUCUUUGGUACCUACUCGAUUUUGGGUAGAAGCACUGUCCACAGUCGUUCAUCUAAUUAAUUGUUUGCCUUCACAAGUACUAAACUUUGCAUCUCCAUACUCUAUUUUAUUUGGUGUUAUUCCUAAGUAUGAUUCUCUCCGUGUUUUUGGGUGUGUUUGUUUUGUUCACUUACCAUCUACUGAACGUAAUAAACUUUUAGCCCAAGCUGCUCGUUGUGCUUUUCUAGGAUACAAUAAUUUUCAUAAAGGAUUUGUGUGUUAUGAUGCAAAUGCUCAUAAAAUUCAUCUCUUGAAAUGUAAUUUUUUUUUUAAAUCAGAAUUUUUUCCCUUCUUAUCCCUCUACAAAAUCCACUCCUAUCCAACUUCCCACAUUUGAUGAUCAUAGUCCAUCUUAUAUCUUUGAAUGUUUUAAGCCAGGAAUUGUAUAUCAAAGACGUCAUCCACCAUCCAUUUUGCCCCUUCCGGACACGAAACCGGCAUCUGAUCAUUCCCCUCAACUAAGACGAUCAACUCGAGUUUCACGUGCCCCAAACAGGUAUGGAUACUAUCAGCAACUACUAUUGAUAGUACUUUUGUGCCUAAGACUUAUGCCCAGGCUUCUACCCAAGACUGUUGGCAACAGGCCAUGAAAGAGGAACUUCAGGCUCUUCAGGAUAAUCACACAUGAGAUAUUGUUUCUUGUCCUACCGGAAUUAAACCUAUUGGCUGCAAAUGGCUAUACGAAAUUAAAGCACGGUUGGUGGCUCUUGGAAAUUGUCAGGCAUAUGGUAUUAAUUAUGAGGAGACAUUUGCACCUGUGGCUAAAAUGACUACCAUACGAACCAUUAUGACAAUUGUUGCUUCCAAAAGAUGGCCACUUCAUCAAAUGGAUGUAAAAAAUGCAUUUUUACAUAGAGACUUGAAAGAGAAUAUUUAUAUGACUCCUCCUUCUGGUAUGUUUACUCACUCAUCCGAUAAAGUCUGCUGGUUGAAACGGUCCCUGUAUGGUCUAAAACAGGCACCCCGGGCAUGGUUUGAAAAAUUUCGCACUACUCUUUAGAAACUUAAAUUUAUUCAGAGCCAAUAUGAUUCCUCUAUGUUUCUUCAGCAAACUACUACUGGUAUUGUUGCUCUUCUGGUAUAUGUUGAUGAUAUUAUCAUUACAGGAUCCGACAUUCCACUCAUUGAGGAUUUACAACAUUCUCUUAACAGUGAAUUUCAUAUGAAGGAUCUGGAACACCUUCACUAUUUCCUUGGUCUACCGGUGCACUCUAUGUCCAGUAGGAUUUCUCUACAUCAGCACAAAUACACCCAAGAGAUUCUUCUUUUGGGCGUUCUUGAAUCAGGGAAUAUCGUUCUUACACCUCUCGAGAUUAAUUUAAAACUUUGUCAUAAUGAUGGUGACCUGUUACCUGAUCCCUCCAUAUACAAGCAGUUGGUGGGCAGUUUGAAUUAUCUAACCAUUACUCGGCCAAAUAUUUCUUUUGUAGUACAACAAGUCAGUCAAUUUUUACAGGCUCCUCGUCAACCUCAUUUAGCUGUUGUCCGAAGAAUUCUUCGCUAUCUUAAAGUCACAUCUGGGCGAGGAUAAUUUUUUCCUGCUGAUAAUUCAUUACAAUUAACAAGUUAUAGUGAUGCAGAUUGGGCAGGGUGCGUGGAUACACGUCGGUCUGUUACUGGGUGGUGUAAGUUUCUUGGAAAUGCUUUGAUUUCAUGGAAAAGCAAAAAGCAAGACCGAAUCUCAAAAUCUUCCAUAGAAUCUGAGUAUCGAGCUAUGUCCUCCGCAUGUUCUGAAAUUGUGUGGCUUCAGGGUUUGCUACGUGAACUUGGUUUUCCUCAGCACACUCCUACACCUCUUCAUGCUGAUAACACAAGUGCUAUUUAGAUUGCUACUAAUCAUGUGUUUCAUGAACGCACCAAACAUAUUGAAGUUGAUUGUCACUACAUUCGUGAAGCUUUUGAUCAUAAUAUUCUUACACUACCUUAUAUUUCCACCGAGCAUCAGACAACUGAUGUCUUUACGAAGGCCUUGUCUCGGCCUCGACAUCAACUCAUGAUAGACAAAUUGAUGCUUCUUGAUCGGCUAGCAUCAAUUUGAGAGGGGAUGUCAUUGUAUAUUAUGGCAAGAAUAUCAAUACUAUAUGGCAACCAAAUUGUAACAGAAUAUCUUGUAUUUAUUAUAGACUACAAAUCAGGGAUUAGAGACAGUAAAUUAGUGAUUAUUACAUGUAUUUAGAGGAUUGAAUUCCUCCUUCUGAAGUCAUUAAUUGAGAGAACAAUUUUACAUUGAAAUUUGAUAUUUGUGACAUGUGACUUGGUGAGAUUCUUCAUUUAUUAUUAUUUCCUUGUGGUGGACACAAUGGUUUACGUAGAUGAACUGAAUUCUUGCAUGACAACAACAAAAUAAGUGUGAUUCAGCACUGUCAAGAAAAAGGUAGAGCAGAGCAACCCUUUUUGACGGAGGCUAAUAAGUUGCAAAAGUUAGUAAGAAGUGGCUCAUUGAGCAACCAAUUAGCCAAGAUGUCUUAUUUCAAACCCUCGUACAGAGGAAUGCCGUAUUUUUAUUUUUCUAAGGAACUGCAUUUUUGUCCCCCUCUUCUCCUUCUUUUUUCCUGUUGAAACAGCAACAGGGUACAUCUACUCCAUGUCAAAGUCUAGUCUAUAACCAGACCAGUAAAGAACAUUGACUUACAAGGAGUUCCAUUGAAGUUUCGAUUAUGAGCAGGCAUGCUUCUAUCCCAAUUUACCACUCUGGGUCAGAUUUCACACUUAUCAGAGCACUGUGAUGACAACAGCAGAAACUAUCUAAUUUCCCACCAAACAUAAAGAGAGCUUUGAAUCUACACACCCGCCAGUUAUAAUCAUUCAAGACAGAUAUGUUAGCUAUAGUUAAGGCCAGAGAGAAACACAAGCUAAAAAAAAAUGCACCUUCUAAUUACCGAGAAGCAUGCAGAAAAAAACCUGUAGACAACUCCAAUAUUGGGUGUCAGAUUCUGUAUUUUCUGAACCUGAAACAACAAGCAAUUAAAUACCAUCAACAACCAACUCAAGUUCUAUACUAUCUUGCAAGUUAUAUACCAUCAAUGAAAUAGUUUUUAUUUAAAGGGAUUAAAAUGACAUCUUUUUACCAAAAUUGUUUUUUCCAAAAAACAUUCAAUAAUAUUUAACCAAGUUUUACCCGAGUCCAUAUAAUUUGAAAGUAAUAAAUCAUAUCAAAUUUCUUUAAAUUAUUAAAUUGGAUCCUUAAUUUUCAAUUCGUCAAAUUAUUAAAUUGGAUCUUCAAUCUCUUUUAUAGGGGGUUUGGUGUCACUGCUUAACUUAAUUAUGAUACUAUAUAUAGUGACCAUUUGUGAUAAUUCUGUUGCAGAUUAAAAAUAUUUAGCGACAUUAAAAGUGUCGUUAAAUAUAUUUUGAAGAGCCAUUACAUGUUGUUUUUUGUUUUUUGUAGUGCAACGAUAGUAAAACAUUAUGUUAAUUUUAGCAACACACCGUGACCAAAUCCAAUGAAGAAACCUAAUAAUCAAAGAAAAUUAGAAAUUUUAAAAUUGAUAUUGGAUUUUUAAAGAUUCAGAUAUUAGGUUAACAUCACAUUUACUAUAACCUUUUAAAUAAAAAAUUAUCAUUGUUUAUGUUUUUCUAAAUUAUUUUAUGCUAUUAUAUUUUUAUUUAUAAUUUAUUUAAGAAUAGACACCGGUUUCUUAGAAUAAAAAACUUGUAAAUUUUUUUGUCAUCCCUAAAAACCAAAGAGUCCAUAGCUUGUCAUUUUAUGACACUAGCCUUGCUAUGUAUAUAUAAUCUCCACGGUUAUAAAAACCAAUAUCUAAAUAGAAGAUUUCAUUAAUUUUUUUACAUUAAUCCCUGAAGACAGUAGAUUUUGUAAUUUCUUGAAUUUUAAUAAAAACUUUGAUGUUAAUCCCUUAAGAUAGAAGAUUUCAUCACUUUUUAAGAUUUAAUGAAAAUUUUGAUGAUAUUCACUAAAAUAGAAGAUUUCAUCAUUUUUUUAAUUUAUAACAAAAUUUUGACGUUAUCUCUAAAAAGUUUUUGUUGUAUAGUAAAAUGGUUUUUAUACAGUAAAAUCCAGUUCCCAUACAGUAGUGUAUAACCUUUUCGGUUUUUAGUAUGGUUUGUUUCUUUGGCUGCUUUUCCAAGAUAAAGUCUUCAUCCGUGAUUUCUUGUUUCAGCAUGAUUUCUUUUCUCUUCAGCAAGCUAGAUGUAUGUUUUGUAAAAGAAGAUUUGAAACUUCAAGCCAUCUCUUCAUUCAUUGUGUUUUUGCCUGGAAGUUAUGAAUGAAAUUCCUAUUUUGGUGGGGGAAUUAGUGAUUCUUUCCCAAAUUCUAUUGAUGAUAUAAUCUACAAAUGAUGCAAGGAAAAUUUCAGAAUCUUUCAUGAUGACAACUUCUCUUUUCUUGUAUUGCAUGGAGUCUAUGGCUACAUUGAAAUGAUGUAAUCUUCAAUGAUGCUAUUCCAGAUCUUAAGGGUUGUUUUUACUUUAUCGAUCCUCCACAGGUUCUCCUUAUGGUUGAAGUUUGAUAGCACAACUUUUGCUUACACCGGUUUGGAUUUAGGGAUCAACUCUGAUGGGAUCUUUUUCGGGGAUAACAGAAGUUGACUUCUUGUUUUUAUCUAUUGUCUGGUCCCUGUUUUCUUCUUCCUGUUAUAGAGUAGAUACCGUGAUUUAGGGAUCAACUAAGGUUCACUGUUGGUUUCUAUGCAAGGCAAGAUUGAGAGUUAUGUGAAUAUAUGAGUUGGAAGGUUAGAGUAAAUGCUGGAUGGUAUUUUUUAUUUUUCCCUCUCAUUGGCGCUGCUCACCAAUAGCUCGGGUGCAUUUGAUGCUGAUGGAGAUGGAACCGAAGCUUAUAUAUUCAGCCACUUCACAUGCUUUUUUUCUUUUAACAGUCGAGUGUAUUAUAAGAAAAUGGCUAAAAAGAUAAUAGCCUAGCAUCCAGAAGUUCUAGCUGACCACAAAAAAAAAAAAAAAAAGCAAACAAGCUUUAGAGGUUUUGAAACAGGGGAAGGAAAACAGUGUGGGAAAAGGAAAAAAACAAUUGAAAUCAGCUCCUCCUUUUUACAAAACCAAUGCCAUCAUAGCUGUUAUGAACAUCCUCGCCAGCAGAGUCUGGAGAAUUGGUAUCAAGUCUCAGCCAUAAUGAGAAACUGCCGAAGAUCAAGGAAAAACAGCUUUGAAGGUUUGGAGCAGCCCUAUUAAAGAUGAUAUCUCCAUAGAAAACCAUUAGUAGUACAUAUCAUCAAUCGAUUUUGUGAAAACAUUGAUAAUACCCCACCGUGAAGGAAUUUCAUUCAUAGAUGCCAAGCAAAGUGGCAGUGGAUGAAGAGGUGACUUGAAGAUUCCAGGUUUUUAUUACAAAAAACACAUCUAGAAGCCACUUCAGAUGCUCAUGAUGAUAUUACAUGUUUCUUCUCUCUGAAUUCAUACAAUCUUUCUUUCAUACACUUCCAUAUUUUUCAGAAAAGAUUGAGGAUGAAGAUACACCAAAUUUAGAUUGCAUCAGAGGUUGCAGUCACUAUCUUUACACGGGGUUGGCUUUUUUUACUUGCUAAAGAUGGCUAACUGUAAUUAGAAUGUUUCUUCUUUUCAAAGUAAUAAAUCUCUGAGUCCUUACAUCUCUAGUUAAUUAUAACUACCUUACCGGUCAUAAUGCUCUUUUCUAUACCUGAUGAAUGAUAUUAUUUCUGAGAUUUUUGAACAUGUAAUGACGGAAGCCUGCGGUGGAUUGGUUCCCUUUGUUACGUUACUGGAGUCGCAAUGUUUCGAGGUAUCUGACCAAAUUAAUUCUCUUGCUUUUUGCAGCAAAUCUGUAUCUCUUGCUACUUGCUAGAGGCGUACUCCCAGGCUACCACUGUUUUGGUGUUGCCUCUCUUACCAUUGUUAUUAGGUUGAAUUAAUUAAAUACCAGAAGAUUUCUGGAUGUGUAAUGACUGUAUGAUUAAACUUACCAGUGCACUGUCAAGGCUGUGGCGCAUGAACUUCAUUCGCGGGCGUGCGUCACCACUGUUCCACCGUGUGCCGUCGCAGCCUUCACCAAUUCCAGUAGCUCCAGUUUUUUUCUCCAUUGCCUCCAUUGAAGGUCCAAUUUUCGAGCUCACAAAACAUGACAUCUUGAGUUUAUUUUUCACGAAUUAUGUUUGUGUUUUGACAAAUCCAACAAUUAUGAUUUGAUUUAGUUGUUUCUAGUUAUGGGACACAAUGUUGUGUUUUUUUAUUAAAAAAAAGAAGAAAAGAAAACAGAGAGAAUGCUAAAAAGAAAGUCACAGCUGCAUGUGAUAGAAUACAUGUAAGUAGGAAAUAAAAUCCAACUCAAGAAUAGAUUACAAAUGAGUUCAAUCCAUUUACAGAAAAAGGGUAUAUAGAAUAUAUUUGUCUGAAGAAUCCCCUGUCUGGAAGUUCUUUGAAUGGGGCUGUGAUGGCAUUUAGAAAGCACAAGCACUAGGGGUCUUGUCUUUCACUAGCAGAAACAUAUUUAUUGUUGAAGAUUUUUUGUGUUAGGUUUAGAUAACUUUAUUUGGAUUUAAUCCACUAAAUUGGUGGGUAUCAUCUCUUAUAGAUGAUACUUUAGCUUCCAAGUCUACCAUUCUCUCAUUUAUUUGGAUGUGUUUUGUAGGGUAGAUAUGGUUGUUUUUCAAAAUGUUUUUUAAUUGAAAAUGCUUUAAAAUAAUUUUUUAAAUAUCAGUUUUUACAUCAACAAUAUAUCAAAAUGAUCUAAAAAUAUUUAUAAAAAAUUAAUUUAAAAUAAAUAAAUAAAAUUUAAAUUUAAAAAAAAAACAAAACACUUACACAAAAACAAAUAGAAUCUUGCUGUGAAUAACAGAAUUUGGUGCUAAAUUUCUUGUUGUGAAUUGCAGAAAACAGUUGCUUGAUCUGCACUAGGAUGGCAAUAGCAAGGUAAUGGAGGAUGUGAGAAAGGUAUAUCCAAGUCGUGCUUCUUUUUUGUAUCUUUCUCCUCAUCCACUAACUCUUGCUUCUUUUUUUCCCGUGAAAAAAUGGAGAGCCGAAAAUAGAUUUGUUAAAAAAUGGAGUUCCUGCAGAUUCCAAUUAAAGAGUUCUGUCUUUCUCCUGUAAUCAUCAAAACAAAUGUUAGGGAUGUGAGAAAUCUUUUGCCAAUCUUCACCCAUCUCCUCCUCCCCGUAACGUUUCUUAAUGGGGCAUCUACUUAUGUCCAGUUCCUGUAGAGGCGCUGCCAAAACAUAGUCUGGUAGUGCUCUCAACAACGGGCAAUUUCAAUAUCAAUCUCGAAGUUGUGGCAUAAUGGAUAUAUUGAAGUUGUGUUGGCAUCUUCUUCUCCCACUCUCCUUCCAAUUCCAUCCCACUCUUCUACUUCUUCGAGAUCCAAAUCAAGUUUUUAAUUUGGGGAAAGCAGUGACCCUUGCAAUUUCUCCUUCAUUAAUACUGGCAUUCUCAUCUUUUUCUAUACCUAAAAAUCCAGCAUCCAACCUUCUCACCUUCAACGACCUCAAACCAGGCUUUCAAGGUUGGGCAAUCUCCCAACGGAGGCAAGACCUCCAGUUCACAAUAACAGAGUUUAAGCUCCUGUAAUCUGGUUAAUGUCAUCAUCCAAUUUGGCAAAUCCAACCCUCCGUACCUAGAUAUGGUUAGAUUUCCAAGUCUGACGGAGGCGUAAAGCUUCAAUUAAAAGCCGUUCUUGCCGGCUCUGUGUCGAAACCAAUAGCAAACAAGCAGGCGCUUCUUAUUCUUGAGUUGUGCUUCUGCAGCGUCACUCGCAUCUUCUACCUCCCCGUAGAUUCCAUAUCUUAAGACUCCCUCCAAUGUGAUUUAAGUUUUUUAAUUCUCUUAGAUUAGCUGCUUUACUUUCAUUCUCACCACCACCACACACAGUAAACACAUCUAAUGUUCGAAGACAUGUUAUCCUCUCUAUUCCCUUUGGUAUGAAGGCCACUCCUGAACCAUAAAUCCGGAGAUGCCUCAAUUUGAUAAGUUUUCCAAUCGCCUUGGCAAUUCCUUGAGAACCACACCAAGUAACGUCUAGGGAUUGCAGAUUGCAUAAAUCACACAUGGUUUCUGGCAGGGACUCCAACUUAACAAAUGCCAAAUUGAGGUGUCUCAAAUGUAUCAAUUUCCCUACCUCGUUUGGUAUUUCUUUGAUUGAAGACCUUGACAAAUUCAAUGACCUGAUGCAUGUCAACUGCUUGAACAAAUCAGGCAGUGCAGCUCCAAGCGAAGGGUCUCUAGUGUCGAUCAAGAGGCUGCGAAGACCUUUUGCUUUGUGAAUGGACACGGGAAAAGAGGUCUCUUGACAGCAUCAUGCUUAAAUGACGAACCCUUUCAAUUGAAGUCUCCAUUGUUGCUCCUGAAGGUUAUUGACAUCCACUGUUAGACAUUCAUUUUUUGUCAUAUAUUGGGCAAAAUCAUGCACUAUAUCAUGCAUCUUGAAUCUAAUAUCUUCUGAUCAUACGUCUUAAAUCUUGGAAGAAAGAGCGCGCUGCUAAGACUUGAAAGUACUGCUCUCCAACAAGCUCCAUAUCUCCACCUGAAGUCUCCUUGAGGUAACCUUGAGCUAUCCACAUCUUCACCAAUUCUAUUUCCCAUCUCGUAGUCUUUUGGAAACAUGGCACAAUACAAGAAACAUCGUCUUACCACAGAAGGUAAAUCGUAGUAACUCAAAAGCAAAGGUAGAAAUAUUCCUCUUUCAACCUGAUCUCUAUCAACCUCAUCUAGCCCCACAAUUCGCUAGAUAAAACACGCUCCCACUCUUCUCUUGUUCUUUUAGACUGCAUUAGACCUCCUAAUACCUUGGCAGCUAGAGGCAAGCCCUUGCACUUGCUUGCAAUUUUUCGCCGAUAUCUGUCAAUCUUUCGCGCUCAUCUUUGCUUCUUUCCUGGAAUGCCACAUGAUUGAAUAUUGACCUGCAUAUCUCAUCGGACAAUUUCUCAAUGUUGAUCCGGUGGUCAGUUCCCAUCAUCGUUGCCACAGAAUGUUUACGAGUGGUCACUAGAAUUCUGCUUCCUGGUGCACGCCUGUGAGAGAUGGUUUCAGUUGUUCCCAUUGUCCAUGAUUUUCUGUCCAUACAUCAUCAAGGACAAGAAGGAACCUCUUUCCCUUAAUGGAUUCAGAAACCCUUUGCAAAAGGGAUUGCAAUUCAACCAAAUCGUGCCUCCCUUCAAGCUGCUCAAGGAUAGCUUUGGCUAUUCUAACCUCAUCAAAUGGAUCUGAACACACACCCAUAUCUUUUUCUCAAAAUGAGCCGUAACCUCAGCAUCAUUAAAAGCUAGUUGGGCGAGAGUUGUUUUUCCAAUUCCGCCCAGCCCUACUAGAGAGAUGACAUCCACGUCCCGUGCUUCCUGACUACUUUCCCAGCAACUUGCUUACUACAGCUUCCCUUUCAUCAUCUCGACCAUCACGAUUGAUUCAUCAACAAGGGAGGUACUUGUUAUUCGUUGGAGUUCAUCAGUGGCUCUGUACAACUCAAAGCCAUACAUAGCUCUCUCUUUGGCAAUCUCAUCCACUUUUUCACAUACUUCUUUGAUCUUGAGGGCAAUGUCGCGACGUCGACCACUUGAUUGAAACAAAAGCAAGGAGAUCCCAGGAAGGAACAUCCAUCUUCUGUAGGCUGUGAGUAUUUUCUUCAGCAUCCCCCAUUUUCCAUCUAAGAAUUGCAGAGCUCCAUUCAUCUAGCACGUCAUCCAUAUCAUAACAUACAUCUUUGAGCUUGUCUACCCAAUCUCUUACUGCCUCAUCCUUCACUUGUUUUCUAUCUGCAUCUUCAAGGACAGAGUGAAUAGCAAGGAGAUUGCUUUUCAGCUUGUCGACUUGUUUCUUCACACCCACUACUAGGUUCACCUCUUCUUGUACCUAUUAGUGUAGAAAAGAUAAGGAAGUUCAAGUAGAGGAAACAUUUCUAUGAUUUCACUGCAAAUUUUUAAUUUUAAUGUUUUGUAAUUAAUAGAUUAGCAGUAGUUGACACGUACUGUGAAAUGGAUUGGCUAUAUUAAUAAUUUAUAUAUAAAAUAUUUAUUAAAAACCUAUAUAUUAAAGAUAAUAAUAUUUCUUUUUAUCAUCAUCAUGAUGAUAUCUGUCUGCAGUCUGCUACUAACAAGAUGGAAGAUAAUGAAUCAUAAAAUUGUUCGACGUCAAACCUAUAAAUAACAUAAGCUUGCUGGAUCAAAGAAAUAUAGAGUAUAAAAGGAUCUGUAUUUGUUGGUAUUUGUAAAGUCUAUAGUUUUAAAGUGAAAAUAUUCUUCCUUUAUAACACUCACUAAUUAUUUUAACAUUUGAUUGAUUAUUUUACAGUUUAAUGAGAGGAUCGACAACUCCCUUUUCCUUCUAAGAAUAUUUGUUUUAGAUUAUUUCCGGAAAUAUGAAAAAUAAUAAUAUAAUAAAGAGAAAUUUCUUUAAUAAAAUACAAAUCUAGAUCUGAGGAUUUGAUAUUUUAUUUUAUUUUUCUUAUAAAGGAAGAAAAAAGACUUCAUUUUUAUAUUUCUUAUUCAUGUUAGGGCUAAUCAGAUCAUUGCAAAUUGUACGAAGUAAUUACCUCUUGAGCAACAAUCCUCGUUAACUGCUCCAAAAUUGGCGAUAAAAGUGCCGCUGCCAUCUGUCUGUUUAAUUUAAUUUAAUUUAAUUAUUUUUGAAAAAGAGACAAUGAUGAUAGGAUGAACUAAGAAAGAGAGAGAAGAGAGUCUGAGUGGAAGGAGGCUGCUGGUUUAUUAGUUAGUUUAUGUACUUAGGGUUUGGUGUGGAGGGUUGAGUUUUGUUUCAGUCCCUGUACUGUUUCUAACACUUCGAUUCAGUCCCUAUAUUAUUGUAGCUUUUCAGUCUAGUCCUGGUUGUAUGUUUCUACUGAGAAUGACAUGCCAUUUUGAGUUCCAAAGGUGAAAUACUCGUGCUUUUCUAACUUUUCCUGGCUAAGGAUUAUUAUUUGUGGAAAGUAAUUUCUUCUUCGAUAUAUAGCAGUUAUUUUGGAUUGAUACUGACCUUAGGUUAAGAAUGCUGAAGUUUCUAUUGAUUAUAGCAAUCUACUGAAAUCCCUGCUUCUCGUCUGCUUCUCUAUUUCUUCUCUUCAUUUUAUGUUAUUCCACUAAUCUUCCAAACUGGAUCAUGGUAAUAUAUAUCUGUCCAUCCAAACUAAUUUACACAAACCAAAAGUAGUAACCAAUUAGUUCUUGUGUAAUGGAAAUACAAACAAGCAUCUAUCUAUCUGGGUUUUUGAGAUCUGGUGAUUUUAUCCUGUUUUCAUAGCAGGGACUGGGGUUUGAUAUUGAUCUUUGAUUUUUGGGUCCGAAAAUGGAUGGUCCAGAUUUGUUGAGGUUGUAUGAUUGGAUUUGUUGAUGGUGCUUGAGAUGAUGCUGUAAAGUAUUUUCUUAUAUAUUUUCUGAUUUUCUGGAGGAAAGGAAAGGACUACAUCACCUUCCUAUCGAUUUUUCUAUCUGCAUCCAUAUACAUUUUGCAAUUAAGUCAUUAUGCUUUAAACUCAUUCCAUGUGCCUUCCCUUACAAGAAAAAAAAGAAAAAGAAAAAACAAGCCCAGGGUACUCAGCUUGGGCUUGGGUUCCCUCAUUAUGACUUGGUGAAUUGGGCAAUCUAAAUACUUUUGGGCUCUGUUUUAAUGGGUUCCAAGGGGAAGAAAACACAACGAUUCUUGAACAAGGAUUUGUGUCCCGUGCGCACUUGAACGAUGGGGGUCUGUUUGCAUUUUGUCAAAAGAGAUGAAAUUCUAAUCAAUGAUGAUGAUGAAAAAAAUAAAUAUAUAAAUUACUAUGUGCAUUCUAUAAUUUAGUUAUAUAAUAUAGUAGAUCUUUACAAAUUAGUAAUUUCAACUUACCAGUAGAAAAAUUAUAGUAGAUCUUUACCAUGAUAUUAUCGAAAUAAAUAAAUAAAUAAAAAUAGAUACACUUCAACACGUCCAUACACUCUUUACCAUGAUAUUAUGUAAAAUGUUAUUCUGAAGUGCCAAGACGGCUUCCUUGAAUUGCAAUAGUAUUUCGAUGUCUUGGUAGUUGAAUUUUUCUCAAUGAGCUCCAGGAAACUCUGUAAUUCUGAUUCUUGCCACCAAGUAACUUCAGGGCAGUCUGGAAAGGAUUUUCAAUGUACUUAUGUUCUUGAUGGAAUCUAAUUAUAAUUCUUAAAAACUUUUCAAUGUACUUCUGGCUUUUAAGCAAGCCUUGUCAGAACAAGAGUCUUGUGAUUAAAUUGUUUCUUCAACUCAAAUAGAUCCCUGAAAAUUAGAAAGGGGAGGCUUAUAAUUAAAUAAUAAAUGACACCAGGGGUAACAACUUAUACCCUGAUAAUCUACUAAUAGACUGACAUGCUGUAUCCAAGAAAUUAUUCCACCCCGUUUUUGGGCUGUGUUCAGAAAAUUAUUACAACCCAUUUUUGGGGUUCAACUUCGGUAUUGUUUAUUAUGUUGUUCGCCUUUUUUAAAUUGUGUUUUUUAAAAUAUAUUUUAUAAUCUUAAUGAAAAAAAAUAUAAAAAUAUAUUUUUAAUUAAAAAAUACUUUUAAAAAAGAUCAUAUCUUGCAUUACUAAACACACAUAUAAUAGAAUACUCGAGGGAUUUUUUUAUAAGCCAAGACUAAAUUUAUUAUUGCUAUUAUUUUAAAGUUCAUUCGUAUUUGUAUUAAACACAUACUAAUUUUCUCUUGAAAUAUGAAAGCAAAAUCCAAAAAAAAAUAAAAUGAAUGCUAAUCAAUAAAAAACAUAUGAAUUUUUUUUAUUUGAGAAUAAAGAAUUUUUUAAAUUUUUUUAUAAAUUAAUUAAAAUUAACCAUUAUUUACAUUAUUUAAGAGCAUUAAAGAAAUUUUUUAAAAAAACUUAACAAAUCUAAAAUUAGAAGUUAUUGUAGUUCUAAAUACUUCCGAGUAUUUAAUUAAUUUUAUUUUUGGAUAUGUUUUUAAAAUAUAUUUUAUUUAAAAAAUAUUAUAUUAAGUUUUUAAAUAUUUUUAAUGAUUUUUAUGUAUUAAUAUUAAAAUGGCAUGUCAUUCUCAGUAGAAACAUACAAUUAAAUUUCAUUAACAGCCAUCUCAAGUUCUAUACUAUCUUGCAAGUUGUAUAACAUCAAUGAAAAAUUUUUUAUUUAAAGGGGUUAAAAUGACAUCUUUUUACCAAAAUUGUUUUUUCUAAAAAAAAUUCAAUAAUAUUUAACCAAGUUUUACCCGAGUCCAUAUAAUUUGAAAGUAAUAAAUCAUAUCAAAUUUCUUUAAAUUAUUAAAUUGGAUCCUUAAUUUUUAAUUUGUCAAAUUAUUAAAUUGGAUCUUCAAUCUCUUUUAUAGGGGGUUUGGUAUCACUGCAUAACUUAAUUAUGACACUAUAUAUAGUGAUCAUUUGUGAUAAUUCUGUUGCAGAUUGAAAAUAUUUAGCGACACUAAAAGUGUCGUUAAAUAUGAGAGCCAUUACAUGUUGUUUUUUGUUUUUUGUAGUGCAACGAUAGUAAAACAUGAUGUUAAUUUUAGCAACACACCGUGACCAAAUGCAACGAAGAGAGUCGAAACCUAAUAAUCAAAGAAAAUUAGAUAUUCUAAAAUUGAUAUUGGAUUUUUAAAGAUUCAGAUAUUAGGUUAACAUCACAUUUACUAUAACCUUUUAAAUAAAAAAUUAUCAUUGUUUAUGUUUUUCUAAAUUAUUUUAUGCUAUUAUAUUUUUAUUUAUAAUUUAUUUAAGAAUAGACACCGGUUUCUUAGAAUAAAAAACUUGUAAAAUUUUUUGUCAUCCCUAAAAACCAAAGAGUCCAUAGCUUGUCAUUUUAUGACACUAGCCUUGCUAUGUAUAUACAUAAUCUCCACGGUUUUAAAAACCAAUCUCUAAAAUAGGAGAUUUCAUUAAUUUUUUUACAUUAAUCCCUGAAGACAUGCAGUAGAUUUUGUAAUUUCUUGAAUUUUAAUAAAAACUUUGAUGUUAAUCCCUUAAGAUAGAAGAUUUCAUCACUUUUUAAGAUUUAAUGAAAAUUUUGAUGAUAUUCACUAAAAUAGAAGAUUUCAUCAAUUGUUUCUUUGGCUGCUUAUCCAAGAUAAAGUCUUCAUCCGUGAUUUCUUGUUUCAGCAUGAUUUCUUUUCUCUUCAGCAAGCUAGAUGUAUGUUUUGUAAAAGAAGAUUUGAAACUUCAAGCCAUCUCUUCAUUCAUUGUGUUUUUGCCUGGAAGUUAUGAAUGAAAUUCCUAUUUUGGUGGGGGAAUUAGUGAUUCUUUCCCAAAUUCUAUUGAUGAUAUAAUCUACAAAUGAUGCAAGGAAAAUUUCAGAAUCUUUCAUGAUGACAACUUCUCUUUUCUUGUAUUGCAUGGAGUCUAUGGCUACAUUGAAAUGAUGUAAUCUUCAAUGAUGCUAUUCCAGAUCUUAAGGGUUGUUUUUACUUUAUCGAUCCUCCACAGGUUCUCCUUAUGGUUGAAGUUUGAUAGCACAACUUUUGCUUACACCGGUUUGGAUUUAGGGAUCAACUCUGAUGGGAUCUUUUUCGGGGAUAACAGAAGUUGACUUCUUGUUUUUAUCUAUUGUCUGGUCCCUGUUUUCUUCUUCCUGUUAUAGAGUAGAUACCGUGAUUUAGGGAUCAACUAAGGUUCACUGUUGGUUUCUAUGCAAGGCAAGAUUGAAAGUUCUGUGAAUAUAUGAGUUGGAAGGUUAGAGUAAAUGCUGGAUGGUAUUUUUGAUUUUUCCCUCUCAAUGGCGCUGCUCACCAAUAGCUCGGGUGUAUUUGUGCUGAUGGAGAUGGAACCGAAGCGUAUAUAUUGGCUUUUUUUACUUGCUAAAGAUGGCUAACUCAGUAACAGAAGAGAUUUUCUAUUUCAGCAUGACUACCUUACCCUUAAGGAAUCAAGAUGUGCUUCAUGCAAUAAAAGCUUGGAAUCUUCAAUUCACUUCUUCAUUUAGUAUCACUUCACUUUGAAUAUAUGGAUGAAAUUGCUUUUUAAUCAGGGCUUUUGUAGUGCUUUUUCAAAAUAUAUUGACAAUAUGUGUUACCAAUGGUCUUCCAUGGUUAAAGACAAGCAACAAAAUCUCUUAUAACAGCUUAUUUUCUCAUGUAUUGUAUGGAAUAUGUGGCUCCACUGAAAUGAUGUCAUUUUUAAUGACGCUGCCCCUAACCUUCAAAUCUAUUUUUUCAUGAUGCGUCAAAGUAUUGCUUCAUGGCUGAGGCUUCAUUCUAGCUUUUUAAAGCUUAAUAUAGAGAAUGUUCAGUAGGGAGGAAAUGAUUUUUUAUGUUUUUUAUUUGUUCCUCCUAAUUGUUACGCUCCCUUGUUUCAUGCAGCAGCUUUUAUGCUUUUUUUUUUCUUUAUUUAUUCAUCUAAUGUAAAUUAUGCUAUUAUCUUAAUACCCAUUUUCUUAAUAAAAAUUUCGAUUAUUACCAAAAAAAAAGAUGGCUAACUGUAAUUAGAAUGAUGGUAAAUGUUUCUUCUUUUCACAGUAACAAAUCUCUGAGACCUUACAUCUCUAGUUAAUUAUAACUACCUUACCGGUCAAAAUGUUCUUUUUCUGUACCUGAUGAGUGAUAUUAUUUCUGAGAUUUUUGAACAUGUAAUGACGGAAGCCUGCGUUGGACUGGUUCUCUUUGUUACGUUACUGGAGUCGCAAUGUUUCGAGUUAUCGGACCAAAUUAAUUCUCUUUCUUUUUGCAGCAAAGCUGUAUCUCUUGCUACUUGCUAGAGGCGUAAUCCCAGGCUACCACUGUUUUGGUGUUGCCUCUCUCACCAUUGUUAUUAGGUUGAAUUAAAUACCAGAAGAUUUCUGGAUGUGUAAUGACUGUAUGAUUAAACUUACCAAUGCACUGUCAAGGCUGUGGCGCGUCAACUGCAUGUGCCGGCGGGCGUCACCAUUGUUCCACCAUGUGCCGUUGUAGCCACUAAGUGGCCAAGAUUUUUUAAAUGAGAAGGUAAAUUACUAAUAAAUAUUUGAUAUUAUGUAUUAUGUAUACAUGCAUUAUAUAGAAAAAUCAAUUUGAAAUAUAUGUACUAACUCAUAUUAAAUGAAAUUAAUUUAAGAGUACUUUUAAAAUGAUAAAAAAAUUACAUUAUAAUUGUUCUUUUCGGGUUUUUAUAUUUUGAAACUGUUUCAUAAUAACUUCAUUAUCAAUCUCAUUAAAGAUAUUUUUCUAAAUUUAUAUAAUUAAAUUGUCAUUUAUCCACUUAUCUCCUAUCUUAUAUUGCAAUCUACUCUUGAAAACAUUCAUGACAGAUAAAACUAUUUUCACUAUAGCAGUUACAACUAGUAAAAAUAAUGACAAUUUGAUAAGUAUAUAUACCAAUAAAAAUAUUAAAUUCUUCUUUGUUUUUACCAUUUAAUUUCUCCUCAAGACUAGCGGCAAUAAAAAGUUCUCUCUGACUAGAAAGUUUCAAAUGGUAGAAGGUAAACUCUUUAAUAUUACAGAGGAGCUAAUGAAUCAAAGAAUCGAACAUAGAAAGUUUUGAUGGUAUAAACACAAACCACGGAAGCAGCAAUAAAAAGUGCUCUCUGGCUCUAUGGUUUCCUUCUUUAUAUGCGUUGAUUAGUUUUUUUUUUUGCCAUAGAAUAAAAUCAUCAGAUGUCCCUUUACUUCUUUAUCUGUUAAACAUGAAUAAAAGAAAAAUUUGAGACAACCAGCUUAUAAUUCAAACACCAAAAGUGUUUUUUAAUAGAUUCAAAGAUUAAAAAAAAUUACUUUGAACUUUGCAAGGAGAGAAUGUAGAUAGUCACAGUAGAACACAUUAAUAUAUUGUCUCUUGAUUUUUUAUCUUUUACAAAAUAUAACUUAAGUUAUUAUAUUAAUAUUUUAACGUAAAAAUUAAUUUUUUUUUUAAAAGAAGGGGGCAGCUGGCCCCUUAUGCCCCAGUGGCUCCGCCCCUGGCAGCCACCACCAAUUCCAGCAGCUCCAGCUUUUUUCUCCAUUUCCUCAUGUCCAAAUUUCAAGCUCAGCAUGACAUUUUGAGUUUAUUUUUCAUGAAUUAUGUUUGUAUUUUGACAAAUCCAACAAUUAUGAUUUGAUUUAGUUGUUUCUGGUUAUGGGACACAAUGUGGUUUUUUUUAUUAAAAACAAAAAACAGAGAGAAUGCAAGAAAGAAAGUCACAGCUACAUUUGAUAGAAUAAAUGUAAGUAGGAAAUAAAAUCCAACUCAAGAAUAGUUACAAAUGAGUUCAAUCCAUUUACAGAAAAAGGGUAUAUAAAAUAUAUUGGUCUGAAGAAUCCUCUGUCUGGAAGUUCUUUGAAUGGGGCUGUGAUGGCAUUUAGAAAGCAGAGGAACUAGGGGGCUUGUAGCAGAAAUCAUAUUUAUUGUUGAAGAUUUUUUUGUGUUCGGUUUAGAUAACUUUAUUUGGAUUUAAUCCACAAUGGGUAUCAUCUCUUAUAGAUGAAUGGUUAAGCUUCCAAGUCUACCAUUCUCUCAUGUAUUUGGAUUUAAUCCACUGAAACUGAGGUUUAAGAAUUUCUUGUUGUGAAUUGCAGAAAACAGUUGAUUGAUCUUCACUAGGAUGGCAAUUGGAAAUGAAUGGAGGAAGCAUCAAGAUCAGUGGCUUGUUUGAAGGCAGAUAGACCCUUUGAUCGUGAGAUGAUGCCUUUAGAUGAGAAAGGAUGUGAGAAAGGUAUAUCACAGCUGCAUUUGAUAGAAUAAAUGGUAAGUAGUUUGUUUUUUAAUUAAGUAUUUCAAUAUGGCAAAGAUAGGGUGUAAUUUACCAUACUUUAGUCUUAUUCCAUUCAAUAUAAUUAUGGAUACUAUAGAGCAUAUACGUACUUUGAUCUUAAUUAGUCCUUGGCUUAAAACGAAUUUGGUGCAGAUACAGAUUCUAAAGACGUCCAACUCCAACAAGCCCUAAAAGGACAUCAUUGGAUAAAUACCAAGGAGCUUGUGCAUGAGCAUUGUUUUGUUCACUCUGUGGCAGAGGCCUCUCCACAACUUCUCAGCAGGAAAGCUAUUAUUUAAGUUGCAACGCAGUGCGGUUCUAUAAACUAACUAGUUUAUAGCAAUUGCAAAUGAAUGGACCCUUUGAUCGUUAGAUUAUGCCUUUAGAUGAGGCUCGACAUUAUAGAGGCAUAAAAGAGAGAGAGAUACAUCACAGCUGCUUUUGAUAGAGUAAACAGGUCACAUAUUAUUUACACUCAACCUUAGCAAACACCAAAGCAAAUAAUUAAUACACUCAAAGCGAAAAAAUAAUGUGAGAAAUCUUUUACCAAACUGCACCCAUCUUCUCAUCCCCGUAACGAUUCGUUAGAAUGGGGCUCCUUCUUAUGAUUAAUUCCUGUAGAGGCGCUGCCAAAACAUAGUCUGGUAGUGCUCUCAACAACGGGCAAGUAUCAAUAAUCAACUCUUGAAGUUGUGUUGGCAUCUUCUUCUCCCACUCUCCUUUCAAUUCCAUCCCACUCUUCUACUUCUGUGAGAUCCAUAAUCCAAAGUUUUUUCAAUUUGGGGAAAGCAGUGACCCUUGCAAUUUCUCCUUCACUAAUACUGGCAUUCUCAUCUUUUUCUAUACCUAAAAAUCCAGCAUCCAGCCUUCUCACCUUCAUCGACCUCAAUACCAGGCUUUCAUGGUUGGGCAAUCUUCCCAACGGAGGCAAGACCUCCACGUUUGUACAAAGACCGAGUGUAAGCACCUGUAAUCUGGUUAAUGUCAUCAUCCAAUUUGGCAAAUCCAACCCUCCGUACCUAGUUAUGGUUAGAUUUUCCAAGGAUGACGGAGGCUGUAAAACUUCAAUUAAAAUGUUGUUCUCCCGGUUGAAGUUGAAAUCCAAUUGCAAACAAAGUAGGCGAUUCUUAUUCUUGAGUUGUACUUCUUUCAUUGUCUUUUUCUACUCUUUCAUAAUUUAAGGCACUUCUUUCUUCUUUUAGCUAGAAACAUAAUGCAGAUGCAGAGAGUGAAGAGUCGACAUGCAGAUGCAGGAACAUAGGAAGAGAGUUGUUUGGUUACUAAAAUAAGGGCUAGGGUUAUGAAAUCUGGAAAUUGAAAUUCGGAUCGAAAUUAGUGAGGAAAUCAGCAUGCUAGAUUCAGCAGCGUUUGGGGUCAGAAUGGCAUUGUUGGGAAUAAGACAACAAAUUAUGCGUAGCUUAGCAGCCAUUGUUGCUGCUUCAGGAACACCAAACUCCCUUGUCAAAAAACUGCAUUCAUAUGCAUUUUGCAAUUAAGGCAUUAUGCUUUAAACUCAUUCUAUUUGCCUUCCCUCACACAAAAAAGAAAAAAAAAAGGUUAUUUGCUGUCGUCACUGGAUUAGUUUCAAACCCAAAAGUCUCGUUGCGUUCUGUUUCAAUUCAGUCAGUCUUUAUUAGUCAAUGCUUCGCUGCACUGAAAAAACACCAUAUGCACCUCAUUGCAGAGUGAGGUCAUAUGUCCUACAAAAAUGGAUUUUGAACAUAAUAAUUAGAAGGAAAAAAAAAUUAAAAGUGAGCAUAAUUGAUCAUCGUGGAUAUAAUAAUAAUAUUUAAUAAAAUGAAUUAGCUUGUUAACUCCUAGAAGUUUUUAUAAAAACUAAUCUUGAAGUACAAGUAAUCCCUUCGCUCAUCAACUUCGCUGUGAAAAAGCCCAGAGUACUCAGCUUGGGCUUGUGUUCCCUCAUUAUGACUUGGUGAAUUGGGCAAUCUAAAUACUUUUGGGCUCUGUGUUUUAAUGGGUUCCAAGGGGAAGAAAACACAACGAUUCUUGAACAAGGAUUUGUGUCCCGUGCGCACUUGAACGAUGGGGGUCUGUUUGCAUUUUGUCAAAAGAGAUGAAAUUCUAAUCAAUGAUGAUGAUGAAAAAAAUAAAUAUAUAAAUUACUAUGUGCAUUCUAUAAUUUAGUUAUAUAAUAUAGUAGAUCUUUACAAAUUAGUAAUUUCAACUUACCAGUAGAAAAAUUAUAGUAGAUCUUUACCAUGAUAUUAUCGAAAUAAAUAAAUAAAUAAAAAUAGAUACACUUCAACACGUCCAUACACUCCUUUUUUAAAAAAUAAUUAUAAUAAAAUUAAUUAGUUAUUAAUUAUAAAAAUCAGACCUAUGAGUUAUGUCUAAGCUGUUGAAAAUAGUAAAGAUAAAGUAAUUAGAAGUGACAAUGAAAUUAUUAGUUGAUCAUCGAGUUGUUUUACUAGAAUCCAAAUCACUUAGCUCAAAUUACUAAUAACAAUUAUAAAUUUACACCAAAUUUGAACAAAUUUCUACCAGCCGAUGUGACUAAACUCAAAUCACUCCUAGGAAUCUUAAUAUAAACCCAUUUACUACUAGACCAGCACCUCUUUGGCUAAAAUCCACGUUGCUUUCCCACACCAAUCAUCAGCUUCUUCAAUUACAGUGCUACAAGUCCAUGUCUCUAUACCUAUUGUAACAUAUUCUACAAACAUACUGUUUUACUGUAGACUGCAAUGUUUUAAGUGUUUUUUUUUUAUUAAGUUGUUUUAUUUUUUUUAACGGUUUUUUUUAUGUCUUUCAGAAUAUUUUUUUUGCUUCGUUCUUUGUUUUUUUUUCUUUUAACAAAAGUUUUUUGUUUAAUUUAGUUUAUUAAUGUUUAAUUUUUUUAUUUAUUUAUCAGACUUUCAUGAUACAUUUUCCAGAUUUAACGGGUUAACCUGGUUUGACAAGUUAACCCAUAAUUUUUUUUUUUGCUUUUUUUAAAUUAAUUUUUUUGCUUUAGUUUAUUUUAUUAAUGUUAAAUUUCUUUCUAUUUAGUUAUCAGACUUUCAUGACAUAUAUCUAGAGUUUCACGGGUUAACACGGUUUGACGGGUUAACAUGGAUUUUUUAUUAUUUUUUUCUUUUUAAUUAAUUUUUUUCGUUUAGUUCAGUUUGUUAAUGUUCACUUUUUUUUUUAUUUCGUUACCAUACAUUCAUGACACAGAUCCCGGGUUUAACGGGUUAACCUGGUUUGACAAGUUAACCUGAAAUUUUUUUUUUUUGCUUUUUUUUUUUUAAAUUUAGUUUAGUUUGUUAAUGUUAAAUUUCUUUCUAUUUAGUUUUUUUUUCUUCAUAGAGGUUUUUUUCUUUUAUUUUUUCUUUUUAAUUAAUUUAGUUUAUUAAUAUUAAAUAUUUUUCUAAUUAGUUCUCGGCUAAUGCCUUUAGUUUUUCUUUUUGUUUCUUUUUGUUGUUUUUUUGCCUUUGACUGUGGACUGCACAAUGCAGUCCACAAUAAAAAGGUUGAUGCCUUUUGUUUUUUUUUUCUUUUUAAUUAAUUUUUUUUGUUUAAUUUAAAUUAUUAAUGUUAAAUUUUUUUUCUAUUUAGUUAUCAAACUUUCAUGAUACGAAUUCUGAGUUUGACAUGUUAACCUGAUUUGACGAGUUAGCCCAGUCAACUCAAUGAAUCACACAGAUAAAUUACACGGAAUCAGUAAAAUCAAAAUAAAACGUGUUAAUCUACUUUCUUAUGUUAUGAAAGGAGAUGAAUCCAACAAAAACAUAAUAAGCCACAGUUAAUUUUUUUAUCUUUGAGAUAAAAAAAUAUUUUUGAAAAAAUUAAAUUUUUUAUUAAUUUAUAAUUUAUUUAUAUUUUAAAAUAAUUUUAAUGUAUUAAUAUUAAAAAUUAAUUUUUAAAAACAAAAUUUUAAUUAUUUUUAAAUAAAAAUAUUUUAAAAAAUAAUUAUUAUUUUAAUACCAAAAACGCUUUUGCCUGCUUGGGAGUUAUGGUUGCGGUUGCUUUUCAAAAUGUUUUUUAUUUAAAAAUGUAUUAAAAUGAUGUUUUUUUUAUUUUUUUAAAAUUAAUUUUUAUAUCAGUGCAUCAAAAUAAUCUGAAAAAACUAAAAAAAUAUUAAUUUAAAUAAAAGAAAAAAAUUAAAAUUAAAUAAAUAUUUUUCAAAACGUUUUUAAAACAUAAAAACAAAUAGAAAUAAAUGCUAAAAUAGGAAAACAAACCAACUCUUUAUUAAAUGACAUUAUUUUUGAGAUUUUAUAUAUAUAUAUAUAUAUAUAUAAAAACUUUGGUGGACACACCAAUCAAUCCAUUCGAUUGGCCACCCAAUCUUGGGCAAGAUCGACCGUGGGUUGUAUCUUAUUACUAUGGUGAUAAGUAAUCACUCGAAAGUUCAAAACUAGCUUGACCCAUAAGAAUAUAUAUCGGAAUAAGUUAAGACUAUGAUGCCAACUUUAUUUUUUUAAAAAAAUAAAAGGCAUAAAUCAUUAAUAAAAAUCUAAAAGGUAUGAAAUUUUUAUUAUGUGUGUACCAUUGUUCACCCUUCCAUAUUUUAUUAUAGAUAAUCUAUUGUUUAAAAUUUUGUCUUUUUAAUCUGGGCCUUGAUUUUUUUUACACGAUUGCAUUCUUUUUUAACCAAAUUAAAAAGCAACUUUAUCAAAUUCGCCGACUACUGAUAAAAUUAAAAAAGAGAGGACUAAAAUAGAAAAGGUGCAAUAAAUGGAUGAUGAUUUCAAAGUUCACACAAAAAAUCAAUUUAGUCCUCACACUUUAAAAAUUAUACAUAUUCGAUUUUUCAAUAUUUUUUUAAAUUCAAUUUUAGUAUAAAAUUUCACUUUUGUUAUAUUAUAGUUCAUGGUUUGAGAGAUAAGAGAGCAAGGUCACCGGAUUCCAAAUCUAGACAAAAAAUAUUGUUGGCGUCGAUUUUGACCAUAAAAAUGAUCGAUUUAUAUGUCAAAUGAUUUCAUUUGAUGAUGGGAUUUCAGCUUAAGUGUUUUUUACUUUAAAAAUAUAUAUGGGCUCAAGAGAUUGUUCAUUUUUGGUUGAUUUUGAGUUUUGAGAUAGUUUUUUUUAUGUCAUAGACAUGUUUAUCAAAGUUCAUAUGUUUUUUUCUAGGUAUUUUGGGUAAAAAAAAAUUAAAAAUGAGUUUUUGAAUGAAAAAACCUCAAAUCUUGAUUUUUCUGCCACCACAAUAAUCAAAAUAUGAGGAAAAUCAUACGAUGCAUCAUCUAAUUUAAUUUUCUUUCAAAAAGAAAGGAGGGGGGGGGGGACUUUGCAAUGAAAGAGAAUUAUGGGUCUAAGCAUGUGGGCCUACCUUGACAGACUUGUACACGGGCCCUAACAAGAUUAGUCGAAUGGGGUGGCUCGGCUUGUCAAGCCUAGUAACACUUGAGCUUUUUUUUUUUUUUUUUAAAUUAAUACUUUUUUAUAUUCUUUUUUUCAAGUUUAAUAUUUUAUUUAUAAUUAAAUUAAUAUAUUUUCUCUCUUUUAUUUUGUUGAUAUAGCCUCUUUAAAAUUACAAUUAUUUUUUAAUUAUUUUGUAUGCAUUUAUUUUUAAAAUAUAUUAUUAUAAUUCAUCUAUAAAUGUUUUUUGUGUUUUAUAUGAAUAAAAAAUAUUUAUUUAUUUAUUUAUAAUAUUUCUAACAUGUGUAAUCUUACAUGAUAUUGUUUUUAAUUCAAUCAAUUUUACAUGUAUUUAUUUUUAUUAUUGUUUAAUUGAAUGAAAAUUUGAUUUUGAUAAACAAUGAUAUUUAAUACAAUCAGAUGAAAUGCUUGUAUUGUAAUGUUAAAGAUCUUGAUUUAUAUAUGUUUAUCGAUAUUUCAAUUUUAUCUUUAUUUAUUGUUAAUAAUAUUUUAUUUUUUAUUUUUUUAAUACACAUUAUUCUCAAUAUAUUUGAUUAUAUUUAUGCAUCAGUUUUUUUUUAUGCUUAUAAUUUUUUUUAUGUACAAAUACAUGUUGGAAAAAUCUUCAUAUAUCAUUUUUUUAUAUAUAAAAAAUAUGUUUGAUGCACUAACACGUGAGAGCUUUCACUUUUAAUUUGCAUAAUAAAAGAUUUGUUUUUGUCCUUUUUUUUUUUAUUGAUCCUUUUAAUAUUGCACUGAUCUUAUAUUGAUUUUUACGAUUUGAUUUUAUGCCAAUGAUGGGACCUUUUAGUGCUGGGGAAAUAUUACGUGCUUGGUUGAUUCUCAAUUUUUAAUAAAAUCAAAAUCAAUUGCAUUCGUAUAAAAGAACUAGAAAUUCAGGUAUUGGAAUUGAAAGACUAAAUAAAUGUGCUAUUCCUUUUGUUUGCUAACAUUGAGAAUUGAUUUGCAUAUUCAAUGAAAAAAAAAUCAAAUUCAAUUUUAGCAGUGGAUUGAUUGCCAUGAUCUAGCUAGCAGAAUUUGCUAGUGUUUUUUUAAUUAAUUUUUUAAUUUAAUCAUUUUAUAUUUAAAUUGUUGAAAUUUGACAUAAUAAUUUUUUUGUAAUUGCUUUGUGGGGUUAUUUUAACAUUAUAACUUGAGUUAUGGUUUUAACAUACUAAUUAAAGUUGAUUCGAAUUAAUUUUUAUAUAUUGAAUUAUAUAAGAAUUGAAUUUGUAAUUAUUCUUUUGCGAGAACUUUUUUAAGCAGGUCACGCUAACCUUUUUUUUAUCUUAGCCUGCAACGGCAUAACACGAACAAUCUAUCUAGUGUUAUUACUGAAAGAUCACAUGGCCAACCCAAAAAGUUCACGAAGAACACACAAUCAAAAACGCAAAAAAACAAAAGGGUUUCUUGAAUUUCAACCAAAGAAUAUAACAAAACCGAUAAAACAAAAUAAUAAAUGUUUACUUACAGAAGAUUCAUCGACUAAAAUAGAUGGCAAUUUCUUCUCAGUUGCAAUAACAACAACGUUUGCCGCUACAACACCAAAAAAAUAAUAAAAUCAACAACAUAGUACAUUCGAAAAUGACAAGAAAAUGAGAUGGUAGAAGAAACCAAAGCGAAGAGGUCACAUAGAGUAAAUGGUAAGAAUUAACACCAAAGCAAAUAAUUAAUACACUCAGAACCAAAUCUUUUACCGUUAAGAAUUAAUACUGGUAGAAGAAUUUACCUCUAUAUCAUCAAAAUUAAUAUUUGGGAUGUGAGAAAUCUUUUGCCAAUCUUCACCCAUCUCCUCCUUCCCGUAACGUUUCCUUAGAAUGGAGCAACCAUUUAUGUAUAAUUCCUGUAGAGGCGCUGCCAAAACAUAGUCUGGUAGUGCUCUCAACAACGGGCAAUCAACAAUCAUCAACUCUCGAAGUUGUGGCAUAAUGGAUAUUAUUGAAGUUGUGUUGGCAUCCCACUCUUCUACUUCUUGGAGAUGCCAAAAACCAAGAUGUUUUAAUUUGGGGAAAGCAGUGACCCUUGCAAUUUCUCCUUCAUUAAUACUGCCAUUCUCAUCUUUUUCUAUACCUAAAAAUCCAGCAUCCAGCCUUCUCACCUUCAACGAGCUCAAUACCAGGCUUUCAAGGUUGGGCAAUCUUCCCAGCGGAGGCAAAACCUCCAGGUUUUCACAAUCAAAGAGUUCAAGCCCCUGUAAUCUGGUUAAUGUCAUCAUCCAAUUUGGCAAUUCCAACCCUCCGUAACUAGAUAUGGUUAGAUAUUCCAAGUAUGACGGAGGCUGUAAAGCUUCAAUUAAAGAGCCUUCAUUCGCUUGCAACUCUGUUUUCUCUCUGUCGAAAUACAAUCGCAAACGAAGCAGGCGCUUCUUAUUCUUGAGUUGUGCUUCUGCAGCGUCACUCGCAUCUUCUUUACCUCCUCCUAGAUUCCGUAUAGUAAGACUCCCUCCAAUGUGAUUUAAGUCUUUUAAUUCUCUUAGAUUAGCUGCUUUACUUUCAUUCUCACCACCACCACACACAAUAAACAAAUCUAAUGUUUGAAGACAUGUUAUCCUCUCUAUUCCCUUUGGUAUGAAGACCACUCCUGAACCAAAAAUCCGGAGAUGCCUCAAUUUGAUAAGUUUUCCAAUCGUCUUGGGCAAUUCCUUGAGAGACCGACAGAAAGUAACAUCUAGGGAUUGCAGAUUGCAUAAAUCACAACUGGUUUCUGGCAGGGACUCCAACUCUCCACAUUGUGCCAAAUUGAGGUGUCUCAAAUGUAUCAAUUUCCCUACCUCGUUUGGUAUUUCUUUGAUUGAAGACCCUGACAAAUUCAAUGACCUGAUGCAUGUCAACUGCUUGAACAAAUCAGGCAGUGCAGCUCCAAGCGAAGGGUCUCUAGUGUCGAUCAAGAGGCUGCGAAGACCUUUUGCUUUGUGAAUGGACUUGGGAAAAGAGGUCUCCUCUGACAGCAUCAUGCUUAAAUGACGAACCCUUUCAAUUGAAGUCUCCAUUGUUGCUUCUCCAAGUGUAUUGACAUCCACUGUUAGACAUUCAUUUUUUGUCAUAUAUUGGGCAAAAUCAUGCACUAUAUCAUGCAUCUUGAAUCUAAUAUCUUCUCGAUCAUACGUCUCAAAAUCUUGGAAGAAAGAGCGCGCUGCCAAGACUUGAAAGUACUGCUCUCCUACAAGCUCCAUAUCUCCACCUGAAGUCUCCUUGAGGUAACCUUGAGCCAUCCACAUCUUCACCAAUUCAUAUUUUCCCAUCUCGUAGUCUUUUGGAAACAUGGCACAAUACAAGAAACAUCGUCUUACCACAGAAGGUAAAUCGUAGUAACUCAAAAGCAAAGGUAUAAAUAUUCGUCUUUCAACCUGAUCUCUAUCAACCUCAUCUAGCCUCCACAGUUCGCUAGAUAAAACACGAUCCCACUCUUCUCUUGUUCUUUUAGACUGCAUUAGACCUCCUAAUACCUUGGCAGCUAGAGGCAAGCCCUUGCACUUGUUUGCAAUUUUAUCGCCGAUAUCUGUCAAUCUUUCGCGCUCAUCUUCGCUUCUUUCCUGGAAUGCCACAUGAUUGAAUAUUGACCUGCAUAUCUCAUCGGACAAUUUCUCAAUGUUGAUCCGGUGGUCAGUUCCCAUCAUCGUUGCCACAGCGUCCUUACGAGUGGUCACUAGAAUUCUGCUUCCUCGUGCACAGCCUGUGAGAGAUGGUUUCAGUUGUUCCCAUUGUCCAUGAUUUUCUGUCCAGACAUCAUCAAGGACAAGAAGGAACCUCUUUCCCUUAAUGGAUUCAGAAACCCUUCGCAAAAGGGAUUGCAAUCCUACCAAAUCAGAUGCCCUCCCUUCAAGCUCCUCCAGGAUAGCUUUGGCUAUUCUAACCUCAUCAAAUGGUUCUGAAACACACACCCAUAUCUUUUUCUCAAAAUGAGCCGUAACCUCUGAAUCAUUAUAAGCUAGUUGGGCGAGAGUUGUUUUUCCAAUUCCUCCCAGCCCUACUAGAGAGAUGACAUCCACGUCCCGUGCUUCUUGACUACUUUCAGCCAGCAACUUGCUUACAACAUUUCUCUUUUCACCAUCUCGACCAAUCACGCUUGAUUCAUCAACAAAGGAGGUAGUUGUUAGUCGCUGGAGUUCAUCAGUGGCUUUGUACAGAUCAAAGCCAUACUUAGCUCUCUGUUUGGCAAUGUCAUCCACCUUUUCACAAACUUCUUUGAUCUUCAGGGCAAUGUCGCGACGUCGAACCACUUGAUUGAAACAAAAGCAAGGAGAUCCCAGGAAGGAACAUCGUAUCUUCUGUCGGCUGUGAGUAUUUUCUUCAGCUUCCUCCAUUUUCCAUCUAAGAAUUGCAGUGCUCCAUUCAUCUAGCACGUCAUCCAUAUCAUAACAUGCAUCUUUGAGCUUGUCUACCCAAUCUCUUACAGCCUUAUCCUUCACUUGUUUUCUAUCUGCAUCUUCAAGGACAGAUUGGAUAUCAAGGAGAUUGCUUUUCAGCUUGUCACAUUGUUUCUUCACACCCACUACUAGGUUCACCUUUUCUUGUACCUAUUAGUGUACAAAGGAAAAGAAACGUUAAGCAUAGGAAACAUUUCUAUGACAAUUUCACACCCCCUACUAGGUUCACCUCUUCCUGUACCUAGCUAUUAGUGUAGAAAAGACAAGUUCAAGCAUAGGAAACAUUUCUAUUUUGUAUUAAUAUAUUUUAUUGUGAAAUGGAUUUACUAUAUUAAUAAUUUAUAUAUAAAAUAUUUAUUAUAAAUGAUAAUAUUUCUUUUUUCUUUUUAUCAUCAUGAUGAUGAUAUCAGUCUGCACUAUGCUACUGUACAAGAAGGUAUAAAAUGAAUCUUAAAUGGUAAAAUGUAAACCUGUACGUAUGUAUAUAUAUAUAUAUAUAAAGAGUUCAAUGUUCUCACGUGAGAAGGAUUUCUCCUUUGAACCGACAUAAAAUCUGGUUUUCAUUUUACAUUAAACUAUAGAUAUAUGGAUGUAUAAAGGCAAGUGAAUAAAAGGAUCUGCAUUUAUAUAUUUGUGAAGUCAAUUUAGAAAUAAAGGCAUGAUAAUAAGAUUGUGUGAUAACUAUAUAGUUUUAAUUCACACCAAAUACUCACUCGCUAAUCCUUCGAACUUUUUAUUGAUUAUUUUACCUUUAAUAGUUCAGUUUAAAGAGAAUUGGCAACUCUUGUUCAUCUUUUUUGGUUUUCUUAUAUUUGGAAUGAUAUAUUUUCUUUAGGUUAUUUUUAGAAAUAUGAAAACUAAUAAAACUAGAAAAAUAAGUCUUUAAUAAAAUCGAAAUAUAUACUUGAGGAUUUAAAAUAUUAUUUUUAUUUUUUCAAGUUAAAAGUAUUCUUUUUAUGAGAGGAAGAAAAAAGGCUUGAACGUUAUAUAUAUUUCUUAUCUGUGCUUAGGUAAAUCAGGUUAUUGCAGAUGGCAGAAAAAUACCUGUUGAGCAACGAUCGUGGUUAACUGCUCCAAGAUCGGAGAUAGAAGUGCCUCAGCCAUCGUCUGUUUAGUUCUGAUUGGAGAGAGAGAGAGAGAGAGAGAGAGAGAAGCAGUGAUGAUAGGAAGACAGAGAGAAAGAGAGGGUGAAGGGAAGGAGGCGGCUGAUUGUGAAUGGAUUAAUAUACUUGGGGUUUCUCGUUGCAGGUGGAGUUCUUGCAACUUGUAGUUUUUUUUACUAGUGAAGCUUUGUAUUUAGUGUCUCCACAGAAAAAUAUUUUUUAUUUAGUGGCUGAAAGAUUCACAAUUUAUAUUAUAAUUGAUGAUUUUUAUUCUAUGAAAGAACAACAAAUAUAAUUAAAAUAAUAUAUAAAAAUUAUUUUUUAUUAUUUUUUAUUUUAUUUCAAAGUUUAUUAAACAUAAAAUAAUGUUUCGCUUUAAUUAAUGUUUCUUAUAUACUUUGUAUGUUUAUAUUUGAUAGGUAUAGAGAUCAACAACAUUAAAAUGAUGAAUACAUCAUGAAGUUAAAAUUAGCUUCAUUGUUUUGACUUAAUUUGAUAUUGCUCCAAACCUUUUAUAUUAUAUAUUUAUAAUAAGUUAUUUGAAUAAAACUAAAUCAUACUGGUUUUUUUUACAACUCAUAUAUAAUAAAUUAAAAUAAAUAUUAUAUUUUGUUUUAUUAUUUUUGGCCAUUCCAAAAAUAUCAAGGGAAAGUCUUCAAAUGCACAGAGUAAAUCGGAACCCACAGUGAAGUAGCUCUUCAGUAUCUUCUAAGCUCAAGCUGUCAAACACAGACCAAAAGCAAACGUGUCAUAACCAAAACAACCCAAUGAAUGGUAGAUGUUAAAAUGAGCAUUCCAUUUUCUGAAUGACAAAAAUCCCAGUGCCUAGCAAUGACUUACAUAAUUAAUUAAAAUGGAUUUGUUAAAAUAUAGUAAAAUAUUAGACCGUUUAAGAAUUAACACUGUUGGGUUUCGAUAACUUUAUUUGGAUUUAAUCCAUUAAAUCAAUGGGUAUCAUCUUUUAUAGAUGAAUGGUUUAGCUUCCAAGUCUACCAUUCUCUCAUUUAUUUGGACUUAAUCCACUGAAACUGAGGUUUUAUUUGUAAGUAUACACAUCAGGCUCAAGCUUAUCUUCUUGCAUCUGCUCAAAUAUUUCUUCUGCCUUCUCACAGAGUCCCUCUCUAGCAAACGCGUUCACCAGAGCUGUGUAUGUGCAGAUAUCUGGUCUGCAUUUUUGACUUCUCAUUUCGUUAAACAACUUCAAGGCCAUGUAAGAUUGACUUGCCUGAGUACAGGAAAAAGAUUAGCAAAAUGAGUUUUUAAGGAUCCUAAACACCACUGUUGUCCAGUUAUCAGAAUUUAUAACCAUAUCCUUGAAUUUAUUCUGAUAAUUGUUUGAAAUUGAAUGCAUAUAUUUCAAGUUGUUCGUUGUAUCACUGUAGACUCGUAGACGUACGAGUUACGCGUAAUUUUCUACUGGGACCAGUGGCAUUUCAAGAAGAUCAGAUUUGCAGAAUAAUUCAGAACCAAAUACCACUGAGCUUACCUUCCCAUGAAGGUUGAUCAACAGUGUAUAGGUGUCAGUAGAGGGCUGGCAGCCAUCAUUUUUCAUUCGCUGAAAGAUCUCAAUUGCUCUUUGAGGGUUUCCAGCCUUCGUUAACCCAUCAAUAUAAGCAUUGUAUACAAUUGCACCUGGCCAAAAUUAGAGUAUACGCUCACUUUUCACUCUUGAAUGUGCAUGCAAGUGUAUCAACAGAACAGCUUGAAAAACGAAAAUCUGAGAAGUGUAAAUAAGAGAACGAAACACAAAAGCAGAACUAAUGCCCUGUAUUUCACCACCACAAAAAGAAGAGAAAUAACCCACGCAAUCUCAUAAAGGAAAGCUACAGAAGCAAGUUUGUCAUCCAGGAGCCUCUAGCCUAAUCCAGUUCCGGUCUAGCUAAAUUAGCAAGGGGUCCCUCUUGGUUUAAUCAACCAUUCUCUAAGCAUGGUGAUGUAGAUAAGGAGUAGUAAUCACUACUAUUAUAGUAGCAACAAGAAAUAUGCAGACCAUGAACCAAUCUUCUCUUUUCCUACGUUUAGUAUACUUCACCCCCGAAAAGAAAAAAUAAAUACAGCUCUGUGCAAUUAUUGAGCGAGGUUUCAAAAUUUAAAACGAAUUUAACCCCACAAAAAAUCAAUUUUUGAGGAAAAGAAUCUUAAAAGUUGAAGAAAUUUUUGUUUUAUAAGAAAUGGUUGAUCCAAUAACUUCUUGAAAAUACAAUUUCCCUAAAAGCUAAGAAGAAAUGAAUUGGUAAACACAUACUUGGAGGAAGGCUAUACUUUCGCAUAUCAACAAAGGCAGCUUCAGCUUUUUCUAACAAUCCACAUGCACAGUAAGCCUUUAUAAGAAGGGCAUAAGUGUCUUCAGUAGGGAUACACCUGGCUUGAAGAAGAUCAACAUAUGUUUCUUCUGCCUUCUUGUACAAAGAUUUUUGCCCAUAAGCAUCUAUUAGUAAAUUGUAGCACAUGACAUCUGUCUGGAAGGAGCUCUUGUACAAUAUCCAUUGACAUAUCUGGAAAUUUUAGAGUUACACCCAACAAGAUUAUUAAGAAUUAAGAACAAACGAUAUCAAAAAUGUCUAUAUAAUAAAUAGAGACAGUAAAGAGAUUUGUUUCAUUUAGUUGUAGGAAAAUGCUGGUAUAUGAGAAUUCCAAACACCAACUGCAGCACCAACCACUUAAAGGAGAUUUGAACAAUCGAGGAUUCAGUCUUAAUGGUUGAAGAGAAAAAUACUGUGCAAAAUACUGUGCCACAAAAAUAUGUGCGUGCAAGGUGGUUUAAUCCAUCGCCUACCACCUUACACUAUGAAAGAAAUAAGGCACGAUUUACUCACCAAUGCAAUCGGAUCCCAUUGUUUAUUCAAACGAAGUUGGACGGCUACAUUAAUAAGAUCAUCCCAAGUCUCGUGAGUGACAGGAAGAGUAUCAAGAGCAGCCCAAACAUUAUUCGGAUCCACUUCUUUCCGCACAAAGUUCAGAAUCUGAUGAGCAACAGGACUUAGCACGGGAAAAUUCCAUCAACAAAUCCAGAUCCAUAUUUCCAUCCUUGUCCCCUCAAAGAGCCACCUAGGUAAAUUAGACGACUUAAUAAUUAAAGCCAUAUUUGCUUGAGAGUUAUAUGUAUGAGCACAAAGUGAAUUACUCCGUAUUACAUCGUUUCCUGGACAUCUUUUUGUGAUCAAAGAUUCGCCAUUUGCCAUGUUUGUCGAUAUAGACCCUGUCGCUUUUCCACUUUUUAACAUCUCCACUACUGGAAUUCUUUUCUCUGCGUCUGAAAUGACCAUUCCGGAUUCUUGAUUCUAUAAAAAUAUGAUUCAGAGUGCAUCUAACAAGCAACCUGCAAACACUAAUCAAGUAAACACACAAUUGCCAGCAACAAAAUACACACCUCUUAAUUUAAAGCCAUUACACGGAGGAAGCAACCAAAUAAAAUCCAUAUAAAGGAUGCUUUAGACUUCAAAAUAAUUGGACAAAGAGAGACACUAAAACUACUUUUAAUCACAAUAGCAAACACAUGAAAUGCAAACCAGAAAACCUAGUUAAAAAGAAGAAGAAAAGUAGUCAACUUUCCCUUUCUAAACCAAAUAUCUUCUCCCUUUCUUCCGCAAUAAUUCUUAACUGCUGUGAGUAUAGGUUGUAUUUUCAUUACAGAAUCAAAUAUUAGUCUAAUCUAUCUGAUUAAACUACAAAAAUCAAAAUUUGCAAGAUAAACAAGGCCACAACUGUUGAAGACUGGUUAGAGUUCAACAACGAUAAGCAUAGCACUCUGACAGCUAAAACUGGUCCAUCAUCUUAAAACUUAUGAAGUCACAGUAAGACUUUUUAGAUAAUGAUGAUUGCUCGUUCAAUACAUAUGAGAGCCAACAAAAUGCUAAAAUGUUUAAUUAACAAGAACAUAAAACAAAUUAGACAUCCUCUCUCAAGUGAACGUUGAUACUUAGCAAUUCCAUUGAAACCCAUUUCUCAGAACCAGAAAUUCCAUGAAAAAGCAAUAUUAUCCAGCAAGAGGAGAAAGAACCACCAGAAUUGAAGUUAAUAAAUACAGAAAAUAACAAGGCAGCAUGAACAGCAUUAGCAGUGGCAUUGCAUUACGAAAGAGAGGAAGGAAGGACACGACUUACAUGAAAGUAUAAAAGAGGAGUUUGGAGUUGGGUAUCUGUAAACAUCCAGCAAGCAAGAAGAUAUGUGAACUGAAGAGUGUUUUCUUGGAUAAUGGACUCCGUGGGUGAAGACCAGCACUGCCAGACAAAAGUAGCUUCUGUUUUUUUCUGUUUACUAAGGGACAAAAGCCUCAAAAUAUCUCUAACGAACUUAAGGAGUCAAACAAUAGCAUUAUUGUAGCCUCGUGGUGUCUGAGGUUGCAUGGGAUUCUAUAUUGAGACAGUAGCUGAUUAUACAAUGGUUGAUUUAAAAUAACCAACACUACCUUUUUAUACAAAGUGGGAUUGAUGAGGAUAUAAAUCUACACACUCCAACAUUCAAAGUCCCAAUCUUAGAGUCAUUGAUUAGUAUAGUAACGCCUCAUUGGCAAGAACCCAAAUCACUAAGCUCAAAUUACUAAUAAAAAUUACAAAUUUACACCGAAUUUGAACAGAUUUCUACCAACCGAUGUCACUAAAGAAAACACAAAAAAAAAAAAAAAACGCAAAAAAACAAAAGGGCUUCUUGAAUUUAAACCAAAGAAUAUAACAAAACCAAUAAAAAAAAUAAUAAAUGUUUACUUACAGAAGAUUCAUCGACUAAAAUAGAUGGCAAUUUCUUCUCAGUUGCAACAACAACACCGCUUGCCGCUACAACACUAAAAAAAUAAUAAAAUCAACAACAUAGUAUCUAAGCACCCAUCAACAACAUAGUGCAUUCGAAAAUGACAAGAAAAUGAGAAAAGAGAGAGAGGGAGCUUAAAUUGCACCAACCUUUGAUUCCGAGAGAAGUUUGGCCUGAUCCAACGGCAGUCAAUGCGUGCUCAAUCUGUACUAGCUUUCCGGUAGGACUGAAAGUAGUGAGAGAAAAGGAGUACUGGCUAUCACCCAUGGUUUAUUGCUUGAAGACGCAGAGAGGAAAAACUGUGAAUGCGAGUGUGUGGGAGGGAAAGACAGGGAUAUUUACUUGGGGUUUUAACUUUGCUUUUCUCGUUGGAGAAGAAGGUGUUUUCUUACGAGGGCUUUUACAAUGGAGUAUUAUGGGAUUUUAUGACGGCAGGUUGAUCCUCUGUACAUUGAGCUCAAUGAAGGCUCGGGACCAGUUUUGUUUUCAAGUAUUAUUAACAAAUAUUUAUUUAUUUAUUAAUAUACAUAAUUUUUAAUUUAUUUAAUAACAUUUAUAUAUAAUUUUUAAUUUAUUAUAUUUUUGAACUAGAAAAAUAUAUUUAAAGAACUGCAUAUAUAAAUUUUUAUAAAAAAUAAAAUAUUUGACUCACAAUAAAUUAUCCAUAUUUUUAUUAAAAAAAUAAAGUUGGGUAAACUCUUAAUUAGGCCUUGCUACUGAAUUUUGUUGUUGAUUUGUAAUUUAAUUAUUGUUGAAGAUUUUUUGUGUUAGGUUUGGAUAACUUUAUUUGGAUUUAAUCUCCAAAAUCGAAGAGUAUCAUCACUUAUAGAUGAAUGGUUUAGCUUCUCUCAUUUAUUUGGAUUUUAAUCCACUGAAACUGAGGUUUAAGAGUUUCUUGGAUUUAAUCCACUGAAACAGUUGCUUGAUCAAGAUCAUUGGCUUGUUUGAAGGCAGAUAAAGGCAUACAAAAAAAAAGCGAGAGAGAGCGAGAAAGAGAGGAUGUGAGAAAUAAUUAUAGAUAUGAGUUACAGUAGUUGAAACAAAUGAAUUACAGAUCAUUUUAUGGUGAGAGAGAAAGAGAGAGAGAGAGAGAGAAUGUGAGAAAUAAUUAUAUCAUCUUAGAUUACAGAUCAUUUUGAGAAAAUCUAAAAGAAAGUAUCAUCUUAGAUUAAUUAUAGAUAUGAGUUACAGUAGUUGAAAUUUCAAAGGCAAUUUUUUAGAGUAAAGAGGAAAUAAUAUGUUGAGAUGAUGCGAGAGCCCAAUUACAGUAAAGAGGUCAUAUAUUAUUUACACUCAACCUUAGCAAACACCAAAGCAAAACAAAUUAAAUUAAUACACUCAAAGCAGGUUCUAAAGAGUUGUGCCAAUCUUCACCCAUCUCCUCCUUCCCGUAACGUUUCCUUAGAUUGGGGCAACUCUUUAUGUGUAACUCCUGUAGAGGCGCUGCCAAAACAUAGUCCGGUAGUUCUCUCAACAACGGGCAAUUACUAAUCAUCAACUGUCGAAGAUGUGGCAUAAUGGAUAUUAUUGAAGUUGUGAUGGCAUCUUCUUCUCCCACUGAUCUCCUUUCAAUUCCAUCCCACUCUUCUACUUCUGUGAGACUCACAAUUUGUUGUCUCCGUGGACGUACCCGGUUUUUGGGAACCACGUAAAUCUGUUGUUUGUGUUUUAUUUGUGUUUGCUUUUGGUUCAGUAUGCAUAACAAAUUGGUAUCAGAGCGUUUGGGAAGCUAGAACACUGAAAAAAACACGUUUUUCAGCUCUCGGAUCGAAGUUGCAGAAUUUUCAAAGUUCUCAGAUCUUGAUUUUGACCACCUACAGAGAUUCCUCUCGUCGAUACGAGUCCGGCAAUAUAAAGAUCAUCGAAAUCGGAGUUAAAACGAUCCCUGUAGAGCUCGCCGAAGUUUCGCCGGAAAACUGCCGGAAAAACCAGACUGCCGGAAUUCUUGCCUGAGAAGACUGCCACGUCAUCCGCCACGUCACCAAACAGUGACAGAAUAUGCUCUUGACAGAAUGAGAAUAUUCCGUUAACAGAGACAGAAUAUUCCUUUGGCAGUGACAGAAUAUUCUCUUGACAGUGACAGAAUAUUCCCUUGGAUUUGACAGAAUAUUCUUUAUCAGAGACAGAAUAUUCCUUUCCUGAGUCAACUCGGUCAGAUUUGUUUUUUGGCCAACUCAGUGAUUUUAUAUCCCGUUUUUUGGCCAAGUUAAGCUUGUUCCUAGCAUUUUCAACCGUUCCGGACGCAACCGUGGUGUCCGUUUUGUGAAACAGCACACAGAAGUUACUGUUUUGGCUCUUUUGAGCAUAAAAUUGUGUGUUUUAACAAUUUCGGGAGUCCAUUUGUAAUCUAAAGGCGUCCUAAUGGCUGAUAUUCCAGAAGAAAAAUCAGCGGGGAAUGCUAGUAUACCUCCACAAUACAUCCCGGUAUCGAAUACCAAAUUUGAGGUGGAGAAGUUUGACGGGAAAGGUAAUUUUGGCAUGUGGAAAUGUGAAGUUAUGGAUAUGCUUGUCCAAAUGAAUUUGGAUUUCACUCUAGAAGAUAAACCAAGAGGAUUUGGAUGAGAAAAGCUGGGGGAGGAUAAAUCGGUUAGCUUGCAGUUCCAUCCGACUUUGUCUUGUAAAAGAUCAAAAGUACGCCUUUUCAGAACAAAACUCUGCAAAGGAAUUAUGGCAAGCACUGGAGGACAAGUUUAUGAAGAAGAGUAUAGAGAAUCGUCUCUACUUGAAGAAAAGAAUCUUCCGUUUUCAGCACAAGAAAGGUACUUCCAUGAAUGAGCAUCUGAAUGAUUUCAAUAAAAUGAUAGCUGAUUUGAAGAAUUUAGAUGUGGAAAUAGAUGAUGAAGAUAAAGCUCUGUUAUUAUUGAAUUCACUGCCUGACACAUAUGAACAUCUCGUCACCACUUUACUGUAUGGUAAAGAAAAGAUUAAAUUCAUUGAUGUGUCCAAUGCUUUGGUGAAUAAUGAGUACCGGAAGAAGGACCAGAUUGUUCACAAGGAGUCAACGUCAGAAGCAUUGACAGUUAGAGGCAGAACAAACCCUAGAAGAUUUCGAGGGCGAGGGAGAUCUCGCUCAAAAUCUAGAGGAGAAUCAUCAAACAGGCGAUAUCUUGCAAAAGAUGAGUGUGCCUUUUGUCACAAAAAGGGGCACUGGAAGAAAGAUUGUCCAAUCAAGGGCAAUAAGGAAAAAGAUGAACCAACUGUGAACGUUGCACGAGAAGAAGAUGAACGAGACUCUGCAUUCAUGGUCUCAUCACCAGAAAAACAUUGUGGUGAAUGGAUUCUUGAUUCUGCAUGUUCUUAUCACAUGUCCCCUAACAAGCACUUAUUCUCGAGACUUGAGGAGUUCGAUGGAGGAGUUGUGUUUAUGGGCAAUAAUAAUGUUUCUGAGGUCAAAGGGAUUGGGACUAUCCAUCUGAAGAUGCAUAAUGGGGUAGUCAAGACACUAACAGAGGUACGGUAUGUACCUGACUUGAAGAAAAAUCUCUUCUCACUUGGAGUCCUAGAAUCCAGUGGUUAUAAGAUUAUCAUGCAUGGUGGAGUCCUCAGAGCAAUCCGUGGUGCAUUAGUUGUCUUAAGAGGCACGAGGAUAGGAAACUUAUAUUUCCUAGAUGGAUCUACUGUUACUGGUAUAGCAGCUGUUUCCAAAAGCCUAGAAGAUGCUGAAGCAGAUAAUUCCAGACUUUGGCACAUGCGCUUAGGGCAUGCUGGUGAAAAGGCUUUGCAAGGACUAGUCAAGCAAGGUCUAUUAAAAGGCGCCAAGACUGGGAAGCAUGGGUUCUGUGAGCAUUGUGUUCUUGGAAAACAGACAAGGGUCAAGUUUGGCACUGCAAUACACAACACAAAAGGGAUUCUAGAUUAUGUUCACACAGAUGUAUGGGGACCUUCAAAGAAUGAAUCUCUUGGAGGUAAUCGUUGGUUUGUUACUUUUAUUGAUGAUUUCUCAAGACGAGUAUGGGUGUACAUGAUGAAACACAAGGAUGAGGUCCUUGAUAUCUUUCUGAAAUGGAAGAAAAUGGUGGAGACUCAAACGGGAAGGAGAGUUAAGACUCUUCGGUCAGAUAAUGGUGGUGAGUACACUUCAGAUCCUUUCUUUGAAGUUUGCCAGGAUGAAGGGAUCAAGCGACAUUUUACUGUGCGCAAAACACCACAACAAAAUGGAGUAGCAGAACGCAUGAACCGCACAUUGGUGGAGAAAGUCCGAUGUAUGCUAUCACAUUCGGGACUAAGCAAAGUGUUCUGGGGCGAGGCAUUAAGCUAUGCCGUCAUAUUGUUAAUCGGUUACCUUCAGCAGCAUUAAAUGGAAGAACCCCCUUGGAGGUAUGGUCAGGCUCUCCUGCAAAUGAUUAUGACUCUAUGCGUAUAUUUGGUUGCUCAGCAUAUUAUCAUGUUACUGAGUUAAACUAGAUCCUAGAGCCAAGAAAGCUAUAUUUUUGGGCUUUAGUGGAGGAGUAAAAGGUUACAGACUCUGGUGUUCUGAAUCAAAGAAAGUGAUUUUGAGUAGAGAUGUCACUUUUGAUGAGUCUGGCAUGUUACAGCAGGAGAAAUCACAGGAGAAGGAAAAACAGUCUGGUGAUGCACAACAGGUGGAGUUGGAGACUUCAGUCAUCCCUAUAAAGACUGUUCAGACAAUCCCUACUGAAGGAGAUUCAGAUGAAAGUUCAGAUGAAGAGGAUGCAACAACUCCAGCAACCACACAACAAGAAUCCAUUGCAACGAGUAAACCGAAAAGAGUUAUCAAGAAACCUGCUCGGUAUUGUGACAUGGUGGCUUAUGCACUUCCAGUGAUUGAUGAUGGAAUCCCCUACACCUACAAAGAAGCAGUACAGAGUGUAGAAAGUGCAAAAUGGAAAGAGGCAAUGGAUGAAGAGAUGAAAUCUCUCCACAAGAAUCAGACUUGGGAUUUGGUACAACUCCCUAAGGAAAAGAAGACAAUUGGUUGCAAGUGGGUAUAUGCCAAGAAGGAAGGUAAUCCUGGAAAAGACAACAUCCGAUUCAAAGCAAGAUUGGUAGCAAAAGGCUAUGCUCAGAAGGAGGGGAUAGAUUAUAAUGAGGUAUUCUCUCCAGUUGUUAAGCAUUCAUCAAUUCGUAUUUUGCUAGCCUUAGUUGCACAAUUUGAUUUGGAGUUAGCCCAACUUGAUGUGAAAACUGCCUUCCUACAUGGAGAUUUGGAAGAGGAAAUUUACAUGUCUCAGCCAGAUGGUUUCAAAGUCACUGGGAAAGAGAAUUGGGCUUGUAAACUGAAGAAGUCAUUGUAUGGCUUGAAACAAUCUCCUCGCCAGUGGUAUAAGCGAUUUGAUAAGUUCAUGACAGAACAUGGAUACACACGGAGUCAGUUUGACAACUGUGUAUAUUUUCGCAGACUUCUUGAUGGUUCUUUCAUCUAUUUGCUCUUAUAUGUGGAUGAUAUGUUGAUUGCAUCAAAGAGCAAGGUGGAGAUUGAUAGACUGAAAGCUCAACUGAGAACUGAGUUUGAAAUGAAGGACCUUGGAGAAGCUAAGAAGAUUCUUGGCAUGGAGAUUCAGAGAGACAGAAGAAAAGGCACAGUCUGUUUGACACAGACCCAAUACUUGAAGAAACUUCUACAGAGAUUUGGGGUAGAUGGUAAGACCAAGCCGGUAAGCACACCUUUAGCUCCUCAUUUUAAGCUAAGUGCUUCAAUGUCUCCACGCACAGAGGAAGAGCGCAAACAUAUGGCUCAAAUUCCGUAUGCAAAUGCAGUUGGUGCAUUAAUGUAUGCAAUGGUUUGUACGAGACCAGAUAUUUCACAUGCUGUCAGUAUGGUGAGCAGGUAUAUGCAUGAUCCGGGAAAGGGUCACUGGCAGGCAGUUAAGUGGAUUCUACGGUACAUUCAUGGCACAACUGAUAUUGGUUUGAAGUUUGAGAGGGAUGAUAGACUCGAGCAAAAUUUAGUUGGUUAUGUGGAUUCGGAUUAUGCUGGUGACUUAGACAAGCGUCGUUCCACAACAGGCUAUGUGUUUACACUUGCUAAAGGGCCUGUAAGUUGGAGGUCAACUUUACAAUCAACAGUAGCUUUGUCAACAACUGAGGCAGAGUACAUGGCAGUAACAGAAGCUUUCAAGGAAGCUAUUUGGUUACAUGGGUUGAUUGAAGAUUUGGGAAUUGUUCAAGAGCACGUGGAUGUCCAUUGUGAUAGUCAAAGUGCUAUUUGUCUUGCAAAGAAUCAGGUUCAUCAUUCCCGCACCAAGCACAUCGAUGUUCGAUUUCAUUUUGUUCGAGAAAUUGUGGAUGAAGGGGAUAUUCUGCUACAGAAAAUUGUACUAUAGAUAAUCCAGCUGACAUGCUCACAAAAUGUGUCUCAGGGAUCAAGUUCCAACAUUGUUUGGACUUGGUCAACAUCUCUCGGUGUUGAGCACCUUCAGGGUGCAAUGCCAUAUGGCGCAAUGGAGGCGGCAUUGAUUAAUCACGAGUAUUGGAUGGAAAAAUCUUGCAAAGGUGGAGAUUUGUAGCAAAUUGUCAACAUUUGAAAAUUGUCAACAUUUUUCUCAACAACCCUCUCCUUUACUCAACCACUAUCAACCACCCUCUCCUUCUUUUUGACCAUUAUCACUUCUCAUCAAGGUGCUGCCAAAGCUCUCCUAUAAAGACAGAGACGAGAGAGUGCAGGGUAGAAGAGAGGAAGUGUCAAGUGCAGAGGAAGUGUGGUGAGUGCAAGUGAGUGCAACUGUGAGAGUGAAAAAUACAGAUUUGAGAGAAACACAGAGUGUUAGAGUGAAACACUGGGUUUUGUGGGGAUUGUAUUGGGGUUGAGUUGAGUGUUUGUAUUAUUCCUCCAAUAAUAUACAAUCUGUUGUCUCCGUGGACGUACCCGGUUUUGGGAAACCACGUAAAUCUGUUGUUUGUGUUUUAUUUGUGUUUGCUUUCGGUCCAGUAUACACAACACACGUUUCUACACUAACGGAGUGUAAGCACCUGUAAUCUGGUUAAUGUCAUCAUCCAAUUUGGCCAUUCCAACCCUCCGUAACUCCAUAUGAUUAGAUUUUCCAAGUCUGACGGAGGCUGUAAAGCUUCAAUUAAAAUGCCGUUCUCCUGGUUGUAGUAGAAAUCCAAUUCCAAACGAAGCAGGCGCUUCUUAUUCUUGAGUUGUGCUUCUGCAGCGUCACUCGCAUCUUCUUUACCUCCUCCUAGAUUACUUAUAAUAAGACUCCCUCCAAUGUGAUUUAAGUUUUUUAAUUCUCUUAGAUUAGCUGCUUUACUUUCAUUCUCACCACCAGCACACACAGUAAACACAUCUAAUGUUCGAAGACAUGUUAUCCUCUCUAUUCCCUUUGGUAUGAAGGCCAC
rnacentral:lncRNA from 1 species